CCCUCUGAAGAUCUACGAGCAACCUGAUUUACAAUCAGCCUGCUUAAGCCUAAGAUUGUAGGGGAGCACCCUGAUUUACAAUCAGCCUGAUCUACGAGCAACCUUUCUAUGUUAUUAGUAAAGCGCUAACGCCCUAUCUAUAGUAAGGGGCCUUUUCAAUAAGGCUCGCGUAGGGGCCUUUUUUGGCUCCCUUCGCUCCACUAGCCUUGAUUGGCGGAUGGAAGUACCAAGGUGCGUCUGGUGGUAUCGUAUAUAAGAUCACUGCUGCAUUUAGGAGUGAUCUGUUCAUCUAACUAUCAAUUUCAUAAUUAAAUAAAAGAAAGGUUGGGAAGUAAGACGUCCGGUUCACCAGGUUCUACCACUGCAGGGCCCAGUUGCCAUUCUCCCUUUACUAAAGUCGUCCAAGGGACAGGAUCCCAGGCUUUUGAAAUGCGGAUUUGGUCUAUCUUUAAGAAGCGGUGGUCAUACUAAAGUUUGGCUCCGCAUGGGGUGUCGCGGAAGCCCCACUCUCCACCUUAACAGGGGCCGACGGUCGAAUAGAUCGUUAGGAGAGGUUGUCAUCAUGACCGCUGAGGUUGUGGUGAUGGAAGCUGAUUCUUAACUGCUGAACAUGCAAAAGUUAUUUCGAUCGCUUCUUAGGAUAGCACUUAUUUUGAAACAACAAAUUCGAGUUCCUGGAUCGUGUAAAAUAAGAGUAGUACCAAAGGCAGCGAUUAUUAACUUUCUUCUUCGAUCUAUCGUUUUGGUCGCUCCUAUUUGUUUCGUACGAUCAGAAGGAAGCGCUAUAAUGACCACAGGUCAAAAUCUCGUGCUUUGUGCAAUACUGAUUUUUGGCUGGAUCUUUGUAUUUCGUUUUUUGUGUAUUCGUUUGAUACGAGCUUUCUACUUUUUUAAAAAAAUUUGUUGUUCUAUUUAUAUUUAUAUAUAUAUAAAUAUAUUUUUUGCUAUCAUCUACGCAUAUACCUUGUUUCUUGGUUAGGUCUCUGCCUUAGUGGGAUUCUAUCUACUUUUUUUUUUUAAUGUGUCGGAUGGGGAAAUAAUUCCCUAUUCCAGCCCAGCAAACUCCUCAUCGGAAGAUUCAUUCGGGCUCCAGGUCCUGUCGGAGCCUUGGCCCUUUACUCACAAUAUAGCGUUAGAGUCCUCCAUGAGAAAUAGGAUUUUGACAAUGGAAAAUACGAAUUGCAUUUUUCUCCUUGAUAAGGAUAGGGGGGAAUAUUGGGCAGAAGUCAAAAAUGCACUCGACAAUUGUUCCUCUCAAAAGGAAUAUAACCGAUUACUGGAAUUCGAGAAUAGGGAUCUCCAGAUCCGGGAGCUGAAACAUGAAUGUUAUUCCAUUUUUCAACAAAUGCUUACAGAUCAUCCCGCCUUGGCCGAAAAUGCCGCCUACACCCCCAACGAAGCCUUUAUCGACUUUUUAAAUGAGAAACGAAAUGAACUUGACCAAAAAGGAGGAAAUAUAUUAGUGAAGGACCAGAGAUAACUCAAAUUUGUGAAUGUACUUGCACACGAUCUACGAAGACAUGGCCCAAACUCCGCCUAUAUUAAAAUAAGACUUGGCGGAUGAAAAUAAAUAUGUAUAAAUCUUUUCGGUUGAAGUCGUGUACCAAUGUUUUACUUCUUUUUUUUUAUAAACAUGGGCCACCAUGUAUGGGAUAUCCAGAGUCAGAUUCAUCUGCAGCUCCUUCUUUCACACUUGGAUUGCAGCAUUCCGAUGCCAUUUAUUCUAUAAAAAUGUGUGUAAUGUGUGUGUAGUCUAUCUUCUCAUACAAGAGGAAAAGGAAGAGGACGAGGCCCCUAGCGAUAGGGGGAAAGAAGAGUGGGCAUGCGGGCUUCUUUCACUUUCGUUUUGGAGAGACUACUUUAUUCCAUUCCGACUCCCCUCGCUUCCUUAAGCCAUGCCCUUACUAAACCACCAAGAGCGGAAAAGAGAAGAGCGGAGUGGUGAACAAGAACUGCCUAUUCUAUUCCUGAUCUUCGAUUGCUUGCUUCAGAGCUUUUUUUUAGGGAAAUGCAAGCAUCACAGGGUUAUUCCUUCUCAAACCGGAAAGCAGCAGAUUCGUGAACAACAAGAGCUUCUGCUUCCUCCCCGACGGUCACUUCUCCUCCUCUUGUUCUUGGUCACAUGAAAGCAUCAAGAUCAACCAUUUAAACUAAAAAUGUCAUUGAACUCAAAAAUCAUUGAAUCUGGAAGUGACUUCGCUACACUUGUUUAUAUAAGGAAAUCCCAAAUCGAAGGUAAAAUCCCAGUCGACUACUGAUGACCCUAACAGGAUUUGCUUUUCUGCUGCCGAUCGAGGAAAGGCUUAGAAUCAAUGCUUUGACCGGUAAUGUCGAAUAUAAGAACGUAUUGUGCCUUCUCCGGUACCUUGCCAGAUGCUAUAAACUAAAAAAAUGGACUAUUGCAUUAUACAUAGACUGAUCUUAUGAAGAAGAAGGAAAGGAUUUGACGCCGACGCCACUCUAUCAUCUCGUCUCUCUUCGUUUACUGGUUGAGAAGAUCCUAACAAAGGGCCGGUGUUCGUUCAUUCAUCCUUUCACAAGACAAGAGUCAAGCACUGAAAAAGAUGAAUGACCGUACCGUACCGUAGGCUUAUCUGGUGGCCAAUGAGAUGAGAAUCUUACUUUGCUUGUUAACAGGAAUUAUGACCAAUCGAUGUAGCCGGCGGAACAAAGGAAACAGGAAUGAAAGAAGUUUUAGAGGAGGAUCUAAGUACCGAGAGGGAAAUGGAGCUCGAAUCAAUAUCAUUCUCCACGCACCCACCAUUCGUUAGCAACGACCUUACCACGCCCAGCCAUUUCACUAGAAUCUUUAAUAAGCAAUAUCCUUCGCAACUAGAGGUACUUGGUUGAGGCGGCUCAGUGAGACAGGGAAGGGGAAAAGGAAGAAGUAGUUUGGCUUCCAUUCCCGAGUGUUGGUUUGGAGUUGACCCAGUAGCAGGAGUUGAACACAGCUGAUAUUGAUCCGCUGCUACAUCCGCUGAAAGAUCUGUUGCCAGUUCCGAUCGAUGGGAUAGGCGUGAAGGCCCAUCAUUCCGGGUCCUUAAAAGAAGAAAGAGUUAUCGGAGUGCUUAGAGCACUUACAGCUGUUAAAGCUGUUAAAGCUUUAGGUUAAAUAGAAGAAAAAGCCAGAAGCUAUAUGCUUAACACUUAGGGGUCGGAAGCAGUGGCAGGGCAAAGGACGAGUGGAGAUUAGGGUAUAAUCAGGAUAUUCCACUGGAUAGGUAAACCCAUUUAUAGUUUGUUUUAAAAAUAGGGGACUUUUUCAUUUGGUGGCACAACCUGUCCUCAUUCUAUAUCUCCAUGUUAGACCGACUCUCCGAAUGAAGAGAUCUUGUUUGUUGCAGAAGAAGACGUUGUUCCGAUGCCAGAGUAACGAUUUGUAGCAGUAGAAGGAAGGUACUGAUUGUUCGAACAAGCUAGUAUGUCGCUUAUCCGCUGUUAGGAAGGGAAGGUAGGUAAAUAAGAGGCGGAUCUAGGGAGUCUUUACUUCUUCGACUUCUUAUUCUUAGUCUUCGAGGCCUAGGUUAUCUGCAAUCGGGGUGGUUUACCGAGAUCAGAUGGGAGGGUAUCACCACGCAAUGGUCGAAUGGACUCGUAGGGACGAACUGACGCUGUUCGCUCACACUCAAGGCUAUCGCCUACGCUGCAUUCUAGGGUCAAUUUCCAGACAAUGUCAGCUAACUGUCCUUGUCCUUAAUUCCACCCUUUCUACCUAUCCCGGGGUACUAUUAAGGUAGGUAGAGUAGUGAAGCAGUAGACUACAUCUCUACGUGAAUUCGUUGACGUAAUGCCCUAAGUAAGAUUGCUAGUUGUACGGUAGCUUUAGAGCACUUAACGCUAAGGAAAAAAUAGACUAGAGAACCAGAUGAUUCGGUCCAUCUCCGAUCGGAGUGCUUUAAUCGUCUGAUGGCAUACUUCCUAUACUUGUUGAAUCUUCCGAGCUGACCGGCAUAAAGGCGAAAGCUUUAGCUGAAUAAUAAUGAAUUCAUUCGAGAGAUGCUUACAGGACUAUCACACCAGUUGCAGUUACUAUGACCUUCUUCUCCUAGGGUCUUUCACUGGUCAGGCGAAUUGCCAGUAACAGCAAUCUGAAUGGUUAAAGCACCCAAUCAUUGACUGGUUAUUGUAGGGUUAAAGGGCCUAUCUAUUGUAUUGGUGGGGUUAGUUAUCCAAGUGGUCAAAUGCGUCUAAUAGAAUGGGUAAAGAAAGAGUAGCAGCUGCAAGAGAUUCUACAGUUGGGAUUUUAGGAUUAACCUGAACCAAACCAACCCUAAAUGGAAAAACUUGGAACCUCCAACUCUCUUCUUUGAGGAUAGCUCCCCUCUUCUAUUCCGGACGGGGUUUCUUAUUAGAUAUAUAUAAAUAAAUAAAUAUAUAUAUAUAUAUUUAUUUAUAUAUAUAAUAUAUAUAUAAUAUAUAUUUAUUUAUAAAGAUAUAUAAAAAUAGAAUAUAUAUCUAAUAGAGUCUCACUCAAUAUUCAAAGGAUCUUUCAUUGAUCAGAAGGUGUUGUUUCUUUCCAUCCCUAGGUUGCGGUUUAGAAGCACUUCAUAGUUUGUUAUCCGGAACUCCAUUCUAAGGAUGUAGCUGCUGAAUAUCCAAUAGUUGACUUAAGAAAAGUUCUCGGACAUUAUUUUCAAAGAGAAAGUUUGAGCUAUUUUUAAAGAGUAGAGUGGGUUGAGUUGGGAAGCGUCUUUCUUGAGCUUAGCAAGCGGAAGGGGUUUCAUCGGAGAGCAAACUCCCGAGAUAUUAGUGGCUUGAUGAACUAUCCCAUUUUUUAAGAUUUUUUUUUUCGUAUGAAACAGAUCAGCUGGUCCGAAUCAAUAGAAUCUGGAGUUGUUCGGAUGAUUGCCCCUGCUGGGAAUCGAUUCAUGCCAAAACGGGACUUCUUCACUUGUCAGUCGCCCGGGGCGCUUCUUUUUUUAUUUUCUUUAUCCCCUUUUUUGAUGGUCUCGAACCUGCUGAAUUAGCAUGCGUUGACCACUUUAUCUUGAGAGGGGCAUUGUAUACCUUUCUUCAACCCUCGCACUAAGGGGGCGCAGCUAGAAAAAGAAACCAGAUGGUUAGAAGUAAAGGCCGAACGUAGGUGCUACACCGAGAUUUAAUAGCAUACCAGACAUUAUGGUAAUCACGAGAAUCCCUAGGUUUCAGUCCUAAGCUCCAGCCUUUGUGGAUCUAGUAGGGGCUUCCGUCCCGUCCCGAACGGAUGAGAUAAUCGAAGUCUUUUCCCGCGUCAGCGGGAGGAUGUUAGUGGUCAAAGAUCUCAGAGUUUGAAACUGACACACUAGAAACCUAAAAAGAAAAGUGAUCCUCAAUCUUUUUAUUGCUGGAGACACGGAUUAGUCUUCAAUAAUUGGUUAAUCACAGCGAGCGGCUCUCUGGCCGUUAUCAGACUAAACCAACCAGAUGUCUUCGCAAGCAAAAGAAGAGUUGUCGCUAUUUCUGUCCACCAGUUACCAGGGUAUCUAUCUAUACUGAAUACUCAUACUCGAUCCUUAACCGAUGCCGCGGGGCAGACGAAGAAUGAUUGUAUAUAAAAAAAUUCGAGAAAGAAUCUCUGCUCCCUCUUCCCUGCGUAUGCUCCCUUCUUCACCGCCGCCCGUUCUUUCUUCACCGCCACGCAAGGAGUCCCAUUCUGCAAGGAUAGUCGUGGUUAGAAUCACAAGCACAUAAUGUAGCUAAAAUCACGAGUAUAAUCAUAGCUAAAAAGGCUCGCCCUUCUGUUGGAGCAGCUGCUCUCCGAGUCGCGGAGAUAUCGUAUUUCUGAAUAGUUACCUCGUUCCAUUCACCACAAGGCAUCCGUCUUCCUAACUUCAUCAAUCUUGUCCCUCCGAAGCCUUGCUCUAUCAAAACGAUUGCUAGAAGAGUCGAUCACUAAACCCUUACAUAACCAUAACAUAGGUGGCUUAAUAACCUUUGCAUAGAGCCGCACUUGAAAGAAAGGAUACAUCUGAGCUAAUUUAAUUGAAAUUCUUGUGCGUAUCGCGAUGCUCCUUGCUUUUGCCGAGGGGUUCGUCUUGGCUUUGUCUGGUAAGUUGCGAUGGCUUCAGGACACAUUCUUUCGAAGAAAAUGACAUGGAUAACUAGGGAACCACUACAAUAGGAAAUAACGGAUCUAUUCACUUAAGUUGAAAAAGCUGCUUCAUGGAUAUCUACCUAGGGAAGGUCGAAAGCUGAAGGAAGUCUAAAAGAAAUAAGAUCGUGCUUCGUCUUCGUUUACUACACCGGCAAUAGGAUCGUCUCGUCGAGUAUGAAAUGAAUAGUAGCAACCAACGGUGUGAAAGCGUCCGUUAACUAAUAGGUAUAGGUAGGUGUAAUAUGUUAUAGCUGGCUGCUCCGGAGCUGUAGCAAAAGGCUUAUUGCUUAUCAAAUAAAGUGAUUGAACUAUCUUACUUGGGCGGAUGGGUAGAAAGAGGCGACUUACGACACCUCUGUUAAGGGAGAAACUUUCCUAUGUAGAUGUUGCACAUCAGAAGAAUCCGAGCGCUUGCUAGUAGUUUAAUUGGCACGUUUUAGACAUCAGAACAAGAAAUCUCGUGAUUGAUGGUUGGUCUUUCUCUCGAUAAAAGGCAAUGCAUAGACUGUGGUACUAGUCAAGCAUGAAAAAUGCAAUCGUUAUAAAGUGGCUCUGAACGAUUCAGAUUGUGUUGACCAUAUAAGGAAUAAUAAAGUAAAGAAAGAAGACUAAGCUAGUCCGCUUGUGUAUGUUUAUGUCAGUCCCUUGAUCUAUCAUGAAUCGCGAAUGAAGAUGUACCCCGGUAAUUGAAGAGCCGCCCUUCUCUUUCUUUUAGUUCCGACAGCUCUAGAAGAGGGGCUUGGGUUUAAUUCGAGGUAGUUGGUAGUUGGGACAAAUCUAGAUUGAGCCUCUGUUCCUUUUUGGUGUCUCAAAAUGGCAUACAUAAAGGUGUCUGUCAUGGCUAAACAGAAAAAGGAGAGAGAGUGCUUCUAUCAUCACAUCAUUAGCAAGAAAUGGGCGUUGGAACAAGUCUUCCUUGAAUUCUCAGUUAGAGCAUCCUCCUUUUCUGCAACAGCGAGAAAGCAAGCUUUAAGGGUGAAUUCGCCUUGGCGAACUUUAAAAAGACAUACCAAAAAAUCUCGAUGAAAAUAGUUCCGUCUUAGGUUGUACCUUCUAUGGGCUAGUCUGUCACUACCAAAGUUAUAGUCAAGAUUGGGCGGAGGAUCAAAGAUCCCCAUUUUGGGUUCGAACAUUGUCUUUUCCAAGGGUAUAGAAGCUGCUGAUGAUGAAGAAAAACUCUCAAUCCUGGUUCGAGGCUAUGCUGCUUCUAAGCUCUCCUCACUUUCACGGCAAGAAGGCCAUAGCAGCGUUUGGGGCUGCAGGAUCUUUAAAGUAGGUUCGACCGCAUGCUAAAGAGGAACGACAGACGGAUCAGAGCAACGGAUAAGCAGACGGGCGGGGCCCUGAAAUCUAUAGAUUGAAUAGCACUACUAACAAAGAAGCCGCUGGGAACCAAUAAUAUGAAAGAUAAAAGAUUGAGAUCUGAUUCACCUAGAAAAAGAAAGGUCGAUGCAAUUGAUAAAAUCCAAAGCAGACAAUGAAUCCAGAGGGGUCAAAGAUCUCCGAAACACUUGUUCAGUGAUUCGGCUCCAGAUGGAAUCUUCGCAUAUUUAUCUUAAUAAGUCAGUGGUUCGGAUGGAAAUGAUACUGAAACCACUUCCAAAGACUCAGCGAUAGGGUAGGGCGUAGUGACUACUCAGAUGAAAGCUUCGGAGGAAGCAUGGUGUUAAACGAGGUUAGAAGCGGGUUCUUUGCUUCAUAUUCAUUCAGUCAUCGCCCACUUCGUAUUCUUUAUGGUUGAGUUUGUUCCACCUUCUUAGAAUGUGGAGGCACUCCUGGGUAUCCCAAUUAGAAGAGAUGUUUAUUCACUUUUAGCUUGUAAAGCCGGCUUCUUUCAUAGCUGGAUCCUAGGUUGCAACUUUAGAGAAAGACUGAAUUCUGUAAUAGGAGGAGACCACCCCUUUUUCCAUUUGCAGAUCAAAAAGAAGAUGCUCGGGGUUCGAUAGCAUUACCAUUUAUACAGACCACCAAAAGAGAGUAUAGAAGGGGGAUCCUCCUUACGAAGAAAAAGAAAAUGAGACAUUGAUUCCAGCCAGGAAUGAACUGUCAAUCCAAGCUAGCUCAGGUCGUAAUAGCCAGUUCAGCCAGUUCGGUACGAGAUAUUCAGGUGUGAGCGCUGCGCUAAGGUAGCUUGCUUGCGAUCAACCAAAUCGAGAGAGAAGUAGGUAGUUGACCAGGGCCCCUUAGAUUCGACCGGUGGGUGAGGGAAAGAUGAAAGAAAUUGAGACGCAUAUGGGAGAGGUAGCUCUUCCUUUUACCAUUCAUAUUUCAGCUGAUGAUACACCAUAAGAAGAGGGGUAGUGAACUACUCAUGGUGCAAUUUUUAAUACACUUUGUGUCUUUUUAAUGAUGGGAAAGAAGGCUCCAGGUCUCAUUUCUUAGAAAAGUGCUUUUUGAGAGUUCCACCGUGAUAGAUAUAGUUUAUGACUCGGCCAUAGGCAGAAAAGCGGGUUGAAGGAGAUCAUGUUACGUAUUCGAAUUAAGGGAGGGUCGUCGUACCUACUAUGAAUAGAGAAAACUUUCACCAUUGCACUCACUAGCAGCCCAGGUCUUUCCAUUCCUAAUGUGGAUGUUGUGGAAUUCUCUACUGGUUCUCGUCCACUUACCGUUGACCUCGCCUCCCACUACAGCAGUAGCGCUGGCAUGUAAUAAGUUUCUGAUCCAACUUCUCCUAAUGGGAGGCAUUCCGAUACCAUAGCAUGAACCGAAAAGCAAACUCUUCCUCUCGAAAACGAGCUAGCAUAGACCACUUGCUUCAAAGCUCAAGGUUCUUCUAUAGAAAAUCUAUAGAAAGGUCGGCUGUUUCACUCUCAGCGAGUCGGGAUAUAUUUGCGGUCAUCACAUCAGGAACGGUUUGUUUCGGGAACUAGUGCAAUAAAUAAAUACAAUCCGCUUGCCUCUUUUAAUGAAGAAGGGUUGGUUUAAUUGAUAGCUACUUUUUGGAAUUGGGAGUCCUCUGGAUUGCUCUUCUCUUAUGCCCCGGAGUGGCGAGAAUACGAAGCUAGAUCAGCAGGAAUGACAGCGGUCUCGGGAAUCUACUCUACUAGUUGCAACGCGUGUUCUUGUCAGCAUUGGGAAUAGAGCAUUGCUUAUAUAUGCAGGACGGGAAAGUUUCUUUUAGUCUAACCUUCGCAUGAGCUUUUCUUGUUCUUGACUUCAAAUUAAUUGGAAUUGCCUUCUCGUUUUAGCUUAUAUUAAGUGCACCUCUCCCUACUUGAUGAUUCUUUAUGGACACUCGUUUCUUCAUCUAGGCAGGGAUCAGAAGCUGAGAGAUAGCCGUAAACUCUGAAGUGGUAGCUUUUUAUCUACUUUCUUUCUUUAAAGGCGUACAUCCAGUCCAAGCAGUUGCUCCCAGCUAGCGGAAAAGGUGAAUGUGAAUUCAUUUUUAUUAAAAAGAUGCUAUUUAAGCAUCAAGAUUGUGUUGGUGUUCAGUCAGCUGUACUAAAUGCAGAUUUGGAUGCCUCGUAUGAUAAAGAAGAGAGUUUUUACAAAGAUGAAGACCUAGAAAGCCCUAGAGCUAGAGCUUGUUGAGAAAGUUGCUUUGAAGAUGGGCUUCCUAUGGGAAAGAGGGAAGUUUAAAGCGAUAACAAAGGCCGUAGGGGAUAGGAUGUCUUUCUGCGUCUACUGAUGCUAAUUCGGAUGCUUUUGAAACAGCCUUGGCUAUCGGUCAUGUUCUCGAUCCUCGUUCCCACUCCCAUCUCCAGCUCACGCUCCUUUGGCACCAUACCCCGCCUUCUGAAUAACAAAUCACACCUUUUCUAAAGGCUCAAUUUGGCUAGUGGUGGGCAACACCCAAAAGGCAUGGCUUAGUAGUUUUAGGCUCCUCCCUUUCGCGAAGCCUAUCCUUGGGCUUUUCUCUCUUGCUCAUGCUCCCUAUCUCGAUCCAUAUCGGGCUCUCAAUCUCGAUCUUGACCAGUAUUCGCACCCCGAAUCCUCCACCAUUCCUGGAGGUUCCUAUUCAUAUCUAUAUUUUAUAUUUGGUGUUGAUGUCGUUAAUUGGGGCGGAGAAACAUGGGUUGGUUUAUCUAGCCCGAUAGCAGAAACCAUUAAUACGGGGCACUGCGUGGCUUAAAAGGCUCUAUUUUAACAAUGAAUGGAAUGGUUGUCAUCCCCCCGCUUCCAGAAGUUUUGGAUGGCUAAUCAGUUGUGGUUCCUUAUUCUUAAUUUCACUCUCACGGAAUGAGGGGGGGCCACCCAUUGCUGCGUUGGAGGCCUUCCGGACGCUAGCUUUAUUUAAAGCCUAACCUAUCAAGGAAGGCCUUUUUAUUAGCAAGGAAAAGUACUCGCCAGAGAACGUUGUCGAGAGAGAGCGUAGGAUGGAAAUGGGAGAGAGAAUCGGAAUUAAAGGUAUAGAUCAGAUCGAGCCCGAGAUGCGGAUCAUGAGCACAAUAAAGAGCAGCCAAGAUAUGAAAUGGAUAUGCAAUGAGGGAGCGCUAGCCCCAAGGGUAAGAGAAAGUCUAGCUACCCGAGCUGUCAUGAGUUCCUAAACUUUAUGAAUCAAUCGCCUAAACUCAAAAACGGAGUGGAUCUGAGCCCCCCUCUUAAGGGGUGGGGGGCCGAGGCAGGUAAGAAAGGUAUUAAAGCCAAACGACUUUCAAUUAAGGGCAAGCGGGACUCGAACCCAGCAAGCAACGGACCAGCCAAGAAACGGGGCAGUGCGGUUGUGCGGUAGUCUUGUCUUUUAGUUAUAUGUAUUAAAGCAAGCAACAGUACGCUAGCGCGAAAGCGUUGCUUUCUUGCUCGGUAGUGCGGUAGUGCGAGCCAGCACCCCUUUUUACUACAAUACAACUAACUAGUUAUACACAAUUGUGGUUCGUGCGUCGGUACUUUUCUGUAAUCCUUGCGAGCUCUAACCCGUUUUACCUCUUUUAUAUGGUGCAAUAAGCCUCUUUCUAGAUGCCUAUAUUCUAUACAAAACCCUUAAUUCAUGACUUUCACUCUUUCUUGUUGGUGGGUCACUGGACCCUUUGGAAGCUACAGAACUUGGAGAUCCCUGGACCUUACUUAAUAAAAUAGGAUUUCGAAUACGAAGCUUUAGCGCCGAAAGGCCUAACGUUUUUCAGUUGGGGUCCGGCUUUUAGGUGGAUUGCCUACUUUGAUACUAAUUAUUAAGGGAAUCAGUCCGGUCCCACUAACGGAACAAGAACACAUUAGCGUAUGAAACAGAGCUGAAAGCGCGAGUGCACGAUCUCAAAAGCGGCAAGUUCACGUUCCGCUUCCUCAAUCUCGAACUCUGGCUAUUGGGAUGAGCUCCCCUUACCUGCGCUAUUCUAUGAACGAACACGCCAGAGGAACUCCCGUACCGGACUCGCUCACAUACCUGGAUUGGGCCCCUCCCCCUCCGAGGCCGGUUCACUAACUAGACCUGAUGCCCUCAGGAUCGGUCGUUUCACUUGAUAAAUGUCCAAAAUAACUAAUCACUAUUUUACUGCUUUUAUUUUAGGGUGCGAAGCAGAUCGACCUUAAGGGAACUUCAUUUCAUAUCAGGAAAGAGAGGAGCUGCUCCCAUACUUGACAAGCUCCCUAGCUCCCCUUCCCAUACAGUAACACAGGUAGAGGAGUAAUAAAUCUCCCUUGUUGCUAUGUGCCCGACCCACCGCUUAGAAGAAAAUUUCAAGCAUAAAAUAUGACGUUUUAUCGGUAUAGGCCAUUGAGUGAGUGGAAGGGCUUUCCUAUUUGGCUGAAAAAGCCUGUUCGUUAUCCAUAUUGAUCUUUUUCCACCCGCCACCCCUUGGCUUUGGCUUUAAGCUUCAUCCGCCGCAGAUGAAGUAGAUGAGGCAAGGGCCGUGGUGUGCGCUGACGGAUCAUGUAAUUGCGUAUAUGACGAUUGCUGUGAGAUUUGAGAGUUCCAUUGUCCGGUCUCUCAAAGGAAGAAAGAUGGGAAUGUCAAACAAAGGAAUCGAGAGAUGAGUAGUUCCUUUGAUGAGGGGCCCCUGGUCAGGAAGAGCAAACAGGAGUAGUUGAAAAAGACUACCACGUGCUGGUAUUGUUACGACUCACUUGGGACAUUCCAUCUUGAUACGUGGCCGGGCUGGGCUGCUACUAGUAGGCUUCGCCGCUACGGGAAUUUCCUUGAGGAAGAAAGAAAGGCAGUGACCUCUGUUUCAGUCGACAUCAGCUAUGGUGACCGAGCCAGUGCCAGUUGACUCAGGAUCGACGAAUCCCACAGGAACUGUCUCAGAGACAGCUACUUCGACUUCUCUACCUUCAGUUCCACCAGGUUUUGCCGCCUCCGGGCCGGCGACAACCACCGAGGAGGCGCCCACGUACUCUCCUACGGAUGUCAUGAACUACCUGCGAGGUAUGAAUGGCAAGAUUGAGAAUAUUGUUACUGAGAUGCAGUCGAUUAGAACGACCGUGACCACUCAAGGAGGGCCGCGGUAGGACAAUCUUGAAGUGUUGCAAGGACGGAGUUCUCCCACUCCAGCGGCUUUUGAAAGUUGGCUGCAGGCUCCACCUUCGAAGGCGACAGGGCCUUCACUACAACCAGGAGUUCCGGUCCAUUCCGUAGCUCCGACAUCCCAACACGCUGAGGGUUCCUCUUCAAAGGUUUACCCUCAACCUCCUAAAGUCCAGAAAGAGCUUUCUUCCCCGCCCUAACCCCCAUUCAUGAGGGGCUUGACUCAACGGAUCUCUGUGGCCCUUGAAAGAGCCGGCCCAGGAGCCUACGUUUUGGCGUCCGCUUCAAAGUAGACUUGAGUCUUUUCCUCUUCCCUUACCUAUUGACUUUAGUAAAAAAAACCGGAAACUGGGGACUUUCUAAAACAUUGCAAAAAAGCCCAAUCUUUAAGCGGAGAACACGACCUAACGACCAUUUUCUUUAGUCUUCUCUGGUGUCGGCCACAGUCCAAGAAGUAGUCUUUUCUGGCUAAGAAGAAGAAGUGGUCUUUUCCCAUUUGCUAGCAACAAGAAGUAGGGAUUCGGCGCUUAUAAUGAGAUAGAUAAAUCACGCGGACUCAGGCUAGCAAAGAAGACUUCUAGUCGAUCCGGGACUGAAGUGCAAAGACAAAGGAAUAUGGUAGAAGGAGUACAACAAGAAAUCAAAGGAUUGCAGGCUAGAUUCGAGGUAUGCCAAAACAAAGGUAUGCUAGUUGAUUGAUUUCACUCUAUUUUACAGAUUGGGUGGGUGUUCAGUCAGAUGUACUAAAUGCAUUGCUGGGGAACGCAAGUUUGCUCGAGGAUUGGGGGUGGGUUCUUUACUUUUUUUCCGGUAUACCGCUCCGCGAGCAAGGAGCGAAUGAACAUAAGACCUAAUCUCAUGAAUAUCCUUCGCCCGUUAUCUCCUCAUCUUCCUAGAAAAAAUAUCCUUCGCCCGUUAUCUCCUCAUCUUCCUAUUUAUAAGCCACAGCUCACUUCGACGUUUCCAAUUUACCAUAGAAUAUCCGGGGCUUUCCUAGCCACUCUAGUUUUGUUUUUUUAUCUUCUUUGUGACCCAUUUGGGGUUUGGGACUCUUUUCUGUCCGUAGGUUCCCAAGUCUCCCUCCGUUUGGGGGGUCGAGCCCUCUCCUUCUUUCUCAUCAAAAUGGGCUGCUCCGGGGGUCUUUUUUCUCGUCCUUUGGAAGUAGAAGGGCGAGCACAAGUUUGAUAUCCAGGGUAGAGGCGGGAAAGCCAAUGGCAAGACUCGACUUCCAAUCCGGUAUAGUUUCUAUUUGAUUCCUCAAAAAUUCCCUACCCCCAUACCAUACUAUAGUGACUUACUUGCUGGGAAACCCUUGCUACUGGCACUGGGAUGCGAGACCGGCUAUCAUAUACGGCCAACCCUUCGAAUUGCUUUGCUUUGCACUAGAAAAAAGUCUUAAAAUAGAAAGCUCGAGCUUCUCAUCCAAGCUUGCCGAUAGAUAUAGUCACGUUCACUAUGAAAGUAAAAACUUGAACUUGGGACUGAGACUACUGAGACUUGCUACAAUAUAAGGCAACCUAUCUUCUUAGGGCUUAAAACUAGCUACUGACGAAAGGAGUUCCAUACGUUCCUUUCCACGAGCAAUAGAGCUGAGGAUAAGAUAAGUUCUUUAAAGCCAAAAAUCAAACCAUAAAUAAAAUUAGCAGGGUUGUGAAGGGUAUGCCCCAGCUCUUUUUAAAGUGGAUCCCCUCCAUGCAGUAAGGUCAGAUAAGAUUGUUUUGAGUUGGACAUGUGGUUGCCACCCACGGGUUAGCCGCGUGUUAAUGUUCAUAAUAUUUUAUAGCUAUAAAAAACGCCAUAGUUUAAAGCUUACCAGUACCCUUAUAGUUCAAUAGUUCAAGUUAGGGUUUGGGAAAGAGCCCGAAUGUUUUGUCUGAUUCGAUAGCCAAUCCGGAUGUUUUCGAAAGCCUGUAUAGGUCUCUUUAAGGUAUAAGGUAUAGCUCAUAAAGCCCUCUUACUAGUUCAUAAGUUCCAGCACCAGAAAGAGAAAAGGUUUCUGAUGAAUUAUCUUCUUAGGGCUUCCACUGAAUAUAGUGUGGAAGGCAAGAAAGCCAGUCCGAAAGGAGAUUUCUUCGCUGCCCUAACGCGUGUUCUCUUGCGAGAGUCCCGUUGGAAGGCUUUCAAGCGCCUUGUAUAGUAAGGCUCCUCUCUGAUAAGAUUUUGGAUGUCCGGGAAUCCAGUUUCUUCCAUUUCCUGUUUGGACUUUACAGGAAAGUGAUAAAAGAAAGAGAAAGGUAUAUGCGCCAUUGAAAGAGACAGUUGUUCGCUCGUCACAAGCCCGGUAAAGAAGAAGCUACAACAACAAUCAGAAAAAUUCCGGUAACUCCGAUUCCCGGUGUAUAAUUUGCAAAAGGUACAAUCAUACCUCAAAAGAUUGAAAAUUUAGAUGCAAAAGAUGCCUAGAACCUGGCCUGCGACUCUAACGAGGAUUUGCAAAAUCAGAUGCUAGAUGGAUAAGACUUUGGAAAAUGCAACUCCCCGAGACCUAAGGUUCCUCUGGCUGGUAAGACAUGAAAGACUUCAUUCUAAUCAACUCAGGGCCCUCCUUGAGGACUGCAAAUUCCUUUUGCAAACGGUUAAGGGAACAGCUUCGCACACCUUGAGAGAAGCCAACGCAUGUGCGGAUUUCCUAGCAAAUGAAGGCCAAAAGCAAAAGUCUUGUGGUUCUCCAACAACUCCUGCGUGAAAUGGAGUUUCUGCUGAUGGCAGACUACUCAGGAGUGGCCGACCUAGUUUUUUGUUUUUUCCUUUUCCUAUGUACCGCCCUAUGUACCGCACCUUAAAGGAGGAAGUCCUUUUCCUUUCAGCAUGCUCCGCGCCAUCUCCACAAUGGUUCGGUUCUUCCGUUCGGCUACGCCAUUUUGUUGAGAAGUACCUGGACAAGACAAGUGAGGUAACGUGCCAUGUUGUUUGAGAAUGGUCUCAAAAUCAUCAUAAGUGUAUUCACGAGCAUUGUCAGAACGAAAGAUUUGAAUCUAUUUAUAAAAAGGAGCCCUUUAAAUAAAUAAAUAAAUAAAUAAAUAAAUAAAUAAAUAAAUAAAUAAAUAAAUAAAUAAAUAAAUAAAUAAAUAAAUAAAUAAAUAAAUAGGCCUUUUGGUUAAUUUAUCGAAAAAUAGAAAGUAGUUCGGAACCUGACUUCAUGAGAAAAAUCCAAGUGUUUCUAUAAAAAUCGUAAAUAAAAAUGACAAAGUAACGAGAUCCCCCCAUAGUAGUAGAUACAGGAGCAGGGCCCCACACAUCAGAAUGAACCAAAUCAAAUGGAGCAUGAGCGAAAGAUUCACUAUUAUGAAAAGGUCAAGCUGGUUGUUUCGCAAGUUGCUUAUCUAUCUUACUUAGCCUAACCCUCUCUCGAGAAAGCAUUGUCUAUAUUGACUUGAGAGCCUUUCUUCUGUCACAACAAUAAAGGGUAACUUCGGGCUUUCAAGCCGGCACGGGCGGACUCCCUAUACCGUCCCAUGAGCAUGACAUUCUCCCCCACUUUAGUAAUGAGUAAUGAGGCUAUCUUCUUUUCCUAACCGGACAACUGCCAAAUGCAAAAGGGUUAGGCGAGAUGACUUGACUGAACCGAGCCUACUUUUACUAAAAAAAUCCUUCUUUAAUUAACAUUACCCACUUGCUAACACUGGAGGCCUUAGCAGGGCUUUCAGAAACAGGGCCAUACUCUCGCUCGGGCAUAGAAACUUGCUGGACAAGAGAGGAAAGGAAAUGGGUUGUGGGGUCGCGGUGAAUUGAGCUCUCCCGAUCCAUUGAUCUGCACCUGCGGGUAGAGAAUUUGCAACCAACUUGCUGGCAUUAUAAAAGAGUCAAAGUAAAGAAUAGCACCAACCAAAUGGAAUAAGCUACUAUCACGGGAACUAUACGGGCUAUAGCCCUCACCUCCUUCGAGCCUACCCGAGACUUCCUCUAUAAACCAUAGAACUGGAACAAUCACUGUUCCAGGGUCUGUCUCAGAGUUCUAUCUCGUGCUUGACAUCAAUUACAUCCAAACCUUCAAUCGGGUAUACUUUCCACAAUAACAGGCGAGUCAUAGUUAGGUAAAAGUUAUACAGAAAGAUGACAUCGCUGGCGAACUUGAAGCUAGUUAGGUAGAUCCCCGCCAAGUGUUGACACCGGAUUAGGAAAUUUCUUUCUUUCUUUGAAGGACUCAGCUCCAAUUCCUCUUAGAGAUCCUCUCUUUGCCUUUUUGGUUUCUUGCUUACCUACCUUCUGCCUUUCCGCACCGCUCCCUGGGCCUUAGCAGUACGAAGAGUCUAGAGCGGGCAGAAGCUCGGCGUGGUAUUCAUUCUACCGGGAGAAUCGGAAUUCUUUCUUGAAGAAGAAAAGAAGAACUAGGGUAUAGGGGCAGAGAAGAAGGAGCUAUUUCAUCCCUUGUUGAAAGGCUAUCCAUUCUUUCUUAUUGAUUGGUGAGAACAUCCAUCCGGCUAGCUGAACGAGGCUGUGAACGAAUCUCUGUGGUGCAGAUGAAUAGAAUAAGCCAAGCCCUGCUUUUGAUCUUUUAGCCUUAUCCGCUCUUGAAUGGCUAACUCUCCUACAGCACCUAGUUCUUUUUCACCCUUCUAGUUAAUAGGAGUGAAAGCAUCUUCAUCCUAAUAAUCUUCAUACGUUGUGGGAGUAAGGGCCAUUAGGAAAGGAAAAUGAACCGCAGCUAUUGAAGCAGUUGGAGGCAGGGCUAAACGAGAGGUUGACUCAGCUGCGAUUGCUCAAGUUGAAUUAGCUUCCAAUCCUAGCAUACUUUAGUCAGCAUUCCCAAGGCACCAGCAUAAUCCGAGUGCUUACUCUCCACUCGCUAAGCAGUGAGAUCUACUUUUUAAGAGAUAGGGCUCAAUGCGUCUAAUGAAGGGAUUUGAAGCUAGAGGAGAGCAAGGGAAGAGAUCGAAGCUAAGCAGAUCGCUUACAGGCCUUUCUCCACAGGAGCAUCAUCAAUCUUAGGGGUCACCCUCUGGCCUUGAUUCAGGCGAUUGACCCUUAGCAGCACAGGGUUGAAGACGGAUAGCCGCCUUUAAAAAAAGGCUUUAGACCAUCGCGGAAGAGUUCAAUUAGAGUCUAACAGACCCUACAUCUUAAGUCUUCAUGCCCAAGUGUGUUAUCGUAAGGGGAUCUGGUUGCUCAUGCCUCUGUGGAGCUAAUAAAGUGGGUUCAUCGACAUCCGAAAGACGGAUUGGACGAGUGCUUGUACCGAGCCGAGCGUGGGGCUCAUCACCGCCCUUGCUUUAGACGUAUAGAAGGAGUACUUCUCACGAAAUGACUUGCAGUGGCACUGAGAAAGAGAAAGAAGGAUGAGUGAGGAAUUGGCUUUUGCUCCUUGGAACUUGGAAGGGAUCUCGAUUGAAUGAAUGCGCAUGACUCGUACUCGCUUGUACCACCUUGGUAGCUGCGAAUGAGUCAACCACGGAAAAGAGAGUUUCAGUUUCAGAGAGAUCGGACAGGAGAAAGAGUAAGAGUAAAUCAGUAGAUUAGGUACCUUCAGUCGAGGAUUUAUAAUUACACAUAUCAGCUCAACCAGUUGGAAUAUCCCUUGAUCUCGUAUCCGUUGGUCAAGAUUAGGAAAGUUUUCAAUAACCCAGUGCUAGUGAAAUUGAAUCAGCUCUUUUCUUUCUCAUCUAAGAUGCGCCUGCUUUUCUCUUUGUCUCCUUUCGCCUAGGACUACCUCGCUUAACUAUUAGGUAGUUGAAUUGGAACCAUAAUCCAAAUAUAAAUAGUUAGAUUUACUAAAAAAGACCACCGGCACUGAAAUCAUUAACAGCAGGUUAUCUUCCCCGCCUUGAAGAAAUAUAUAGAGAAAGAGAGACCGAUGCUUUGAUUUACCUAGCCGGCUUCCCAAGUCGCUUGCUUAAGGUGGUUCGUCUGACCAAGAAAGAAAGUCCAAGAGGAAUGGGAGAUUUUGCCAGUAGAUCUGAUUUCGCGAGAUGCGAUCCAAAAUAGGAGACUGGAUGCCGAAGCUUUAUAAUAUAAUAAUAAUGUCGAAUAGAAGACCAUGGAAGUAAUGAUAAGAGAAAAGAUCACAUAGCGUGCAAUUGAAAGAAGGGCUUAAGACAAGAUUGUGCUAAAUCAACUAUCGAAUAGAACCUUCGUCCGGUUCACCGGUCGGUAAGCGAACUUCAAGAUUUGAAUAAUUUGCUUUUCUCGUCCACAAAUAAGAGUUAAUUAACCUAGUGAAGCCUAGAAGGAUUCUCUUGAGUCAUUGUAUAUGAAUAAAGAAAUAAGUAGUUUAAAUAGUACGAAAACCCCCGGCCCGGAUGAGUUCGGCAUAGCUCAUACAUUAAGCAAGUUUUAGGAAGAUUGCCAUGUGCUCAUAGAUCGUCAUUACUCGGUGACGGAUCUCCGAUCUUUUAUCGGAAAGGCUCCGGGCGCUACUGUCUCUAUUUCUGUUACCCAUGUUCACAUUGGUGCUUCUUCCGACUCAGCCUCUGUCCCGACCUCCGGGUCUCGGUCUCCAAGAAGCGGAGGGCUAAGCCACGGGAACUUGAAGUGCUUUAACAAGAUCCAAUGGUGCUGGUUCACUAGCGUCAUCAGCUGGCUCUGCAACUUUCACUUCCAACCGGAUACCCAGCAAUAGUCUAUACCGCCUCUUCUUCCUCUUCCGCUGCAGUGGGAUCAAAAAGGGAUUUCGAUCUCGAUGUGCUGCUAGCGCUAGAGUUAGGAAGACAAGGAGUUAGUUUACAACGUCGAAGUCUGAAAGCAGAAGGCGUGGGCUACUAUAUGAUCGUACACGACUAAAGCUAGCUCAUCCAUCCAGUCGUUUCACUCGAGCCCCUUUAUUAGUAAGGUUGUCUUUAGAGCGCCUACCUCACUGGCUUCCUUACUACUAAAAGUGAAAAGGACCUGAUAGUGCCUAUUGCCUUAAUGCCUAUAAACUGGGAUCCUUGAAAUCACUCUUUAUCAACUGAAGACCAAUAAGCACAAGAAUGCAAGUAAACCCUACCACCGAUACUAGACUAACGGGUCGACUCACAGCUUCCCCUUUACCACAUAUGCUCUCCAUACCCAAGCCUGAGAGCACGCCAUCUCUUCUAAGAUGACUGCCCUCAGGUACUUGACCGAACAAGGUAAACUCCGCAACUCACAGUAGAUUGAAUGAGUGGUUCGCUGUACCACUGAUAUUGCCUUAACAGCUACUUGUGUGGAGCUUCUCGGCUCAUCACCUCUGCGUUAUCGAACUAAGCCUUUUCCACCGUAGUGAGAUAACCCCAUGUAAAAACAUACCUUCGCACGAACUAUUCAUCGAAUCGGACCUAGCAGAGACAGGGACUCGAUCGGGAUUCCUCAAGUCUUGCAUUCCGUACCUUGGGAAGGAUAACGAAAAAGACCUCGCUCCUCGUACGUGCCUUUGUAUGAUACCGAAAGGGGCCUGAUGUAGUGGGAUAUCUCGUUGUUGUAUUCUUGCACUUGUACCUGUUUAUUAAUUGGACUAAUUAGAUAGUUAAUACGAUGUACAAGCUAGUACAAUACCAAAACCAAAGUGUGGAAUACGCCAUGGAGCUCUCGUUCUCUUGUACCAAGUCUUGCGAUGUCCUAAUAGAGGGAAGGCUUCCAGGAAGGGUUCUAAUACUUGUCUCUCGCUUAAUGCCUUGGAUAGCAGUACUAUAAAUGCACCUUCUUCUUGUUUGUUAAAAAGACCUUCUCGAGAGACCUGGAUGUUCCCAAGUUGUUGUUAAAGAAUCUUUAAGGGCUUUGAAGAAGCUUGGAUGUCUCCCAUGGUUCCUUCAAGGACUUCUAAAGCAAGGGAACACUUAUCAAGGAUCUUAAAGCACGAGAAGACAGCCAUCAAGGUCAAGCGGGCAGACUUACGUUAUCUCUCUUUUUGAUUACAGUAGGCCGAUGCCCCAAAACACGGGGUUUUAUCAAAUUUUCCGACAUAAAAGUGCCAAAAAAGGGGACUUAAUGAGGGGGGGUCCGACCGCCCAUUGAAAGCAUACCCCUUGAUACUCCACAUGUGGCAAAACAAGGCUUUUUCGAGGUUUCUCUUUGAAAUGAUCAAUUUUGGACCUUCGGAAACACAACUUUUCAUCUCCCCCUUAUAAAGGCCAAAAGUAGGCAUUUCGUGCUCUCCCUCUGAAAUUUACACUUUUCCGACCCCGAAAUCUCAACUUUCGCAUCUCCAUAUGUGGAAAAAGUAGGCAUUUUAUGGUCUCUCUUUGGAAUUGCCAUUUUCGGACCCCCGGAAACACAUCUUUGAUGCUCCUUUAACCCAUCGUAGUGGCAAUAGGAAUCUAGAGAUGUGCCGUAGGGGAGAUUCUACUCUUGGAUUGUACCUUCGAUAGAAGAGGAAAAAGAAGGCUUCUUCGUGUUCUCUCUUUGAAUUCGACCUGCCAGGCCUUCCAAAGGUGCACUUUUCUAUCCUUCCAACCUAACCCAUCGAAAGCAUCAAUCGGAAUCUAGAAAUGGACCGUGGGAGAGGUUCUAUUCUCGGCAUUGUACCAUCGAUAGGAGAGAGGCAAAAUGUUAUCUGUCCCUUAAUGCUGUAUACUCUCUUCUCUCUUUCUUAAGACUUUAGAUAAGCCUAAGGGCAAGAUAAAGACAUAGGAAAGGAAGGAAGAGACGGAGAAAGCCAAAAACGUUAUCUGUCCCUUAAGAUGUUAUGCGCGGCUGAAGGUCUUACGAGAUGUUCUCUGCCUCUGGUCAUGGUCAUGUCCCCUAAGAUUUGUUAUGCGCUGCUGAAGGUCUUAUGAGAGGAUUCUCUGCCUAAGGUCCUGGCCAUAUACCAGAUGGUUUGUUAUGCGCGGCUGAAGGUCUUAUGAGCUCUGUGCUCUGCCUAGGUCUCGACCAUGUACCUAAAAUGUUAUGCAUGGCUGAAGGUCUUAUGAGGUGUGGAUUCUUUGUCUCUGCCUCUGGUCUUGGUCAUAUAGGAAAGGAAGAAGGGAAAGCUCGGGAAUACAGCCUUAGAGUUGGGCAAGCAAUCGAGAAGCAAGGUCGCCUCGGACAAAUCGUAGAUAUCGCAGUUCUUGGAAUACUUGAAGGUUAAUCUUGGAAGUGCACGAUAAGCAUACCGUUUUAUAAGUAUACAGCGUGUGCACUCGGCCACGAAGACAAGAGCGGGCGGCGGCAGAGGUAGCAGCAUCUAAGCCAGUAUCUGGGCCAGUUGGCUUCCAUCGAGUUUCCAUAAAACAAGGUUGUUCCUUGCUAGUAACUCUUUCUUUUUGAAGUGAGUGAGCUACAGCCCUCGUGUCCGUUAUGUUUUGUAUUGGCAUUCCGGGUCUGGAGUCUAGUAUUGAUUCCAAUAUAUACUAGUUUAUUCCUUCCCCUAUAUUCCUUCUAUUUGUAUGAAUACUAUAAUAGGCUUUGGCUCUUUCUCUCUCUAACAAGACCUAGCCCAGGCAAGAAGAUAAGGAUAAAGGAUUCUUGAUCAAAUGCUCUUUUAUUUGAAGUCAGUUCCUUGGGAGGAAAUCUCCUUCCCCGGUUUGAGAUCCAGUUGAAGUAGUGGCAUUCCCUGUACCCGUAACAGUGGAUAAUAUUGUAAGUUGCGUUCCAGUCAAUUCGAGUUCUGUUUCCAAGGGCAAAUGCUAUCUCUGAGUCUGUUACAGCGAGUGAGGCAGGAAAAUGACCCCAACAGAAAGUGUUUGGGUAAUUUAGAGCUACCUAGGUUGAAGGUGGCGACUCUUCUCUUGAGAGAUGGGAAGGGACUACUUUCUAUCGUACCCACGAGAAUGGGAAUUUGCCCUUCAAACAAGCCUUCAGAGAUGGGAAGAAGCCUCCUUCUACGCCUUUUCCUUAAGCGCGAGUUCUGCUUUAACUGGAUUCUAGAAAGGCAGUUCUUUGACCCGGAAGUCAAUAGGAGCUGCUAUAGAAUCCGAAUCUGGCUUUGCUGCUUUCUCUCUGGCUUAUGGUGGUACCUUGACUUCUUUUCUUCCUCUCCUGCUGCCCAUGAACCUCCAGCCUCUUCUGCUCUUUCAAGUUCCAGUGCUGGCGGAAGAACCUCGCUCCUGUACUCGGAUCUAAGUGAUCUAGCAUCGAGUGGAUCUAAUGAGGCAAGAGAAGCAGUCGAAGGCGACUAGAUUCUUCAAACCAUUAAGCGGGACAAAGACCCGGGCGGGCUCUACUCUAGUAGUGGAAACCAUGAAUCCAAUUCCUCUAUAGCUCUCCCAUCCACCAACCUCUCUCCUCUUCCCAAUAUCCAGCCAGCGCUGCUAAGCAACCUCGAACGGAACCAUCUUUCUCUCUAUCUCUCGGAAAUAGCUACCAAAGAAGGAAGAUGAUGCACCAGUGGGUUCUCAAUCGAAUGAAAUAACGUAUCUAAAGGCCCACUUAAUGGAUCCAACGAAGAGCUAUCAACAGCGAAGGAACCUCCACCAAGCUCUCAACUAAUCGGGAUCGACUUAACCAGAUAAGCUUUCCUAUGCUUAAGAGCCUACUUCUCUAAGUCCAUAUCUUCCGGCAUCACCAUUCCCAUUCUCUUCCUUUCAAAGCAAUUCUUUGAUAGCUGGGAGACCCACUUGUUAUGACGUAUCUAAUAGGCAGCCUGAACCCACGAAUGUAGGUGAAUAACCAUCAGCUUUCCUUCAACUUCAACCUGUACCCGCCCGUAAAUACCUGGCCAAUUGCUUCACUUCCAGUCCCAGGUAACCUCCUUUCUCCGGCAGCAACUACCCGACUCUUCGAUGCCUCCCUCGAAGUCAAAACUCUCCUCUCCAGUGGCUAGGGCCAGAAGCCUCCUUUCCUUCAACUAAUUCAAGCGAUUCAGUCAGUAGGAAAGUCAUCUCACUGAACAUUGGAUUAUAUACAACCUCGUGAACAUUACAACCAGAGUAUACAUUUACAUUUCCACUUUAUAUUUCUCCCCGAACGCACAAGAAAAGGUAGAAGUGCGCUUCCUAAAGUUAGAGUGAGGAAGGGAUCUUAGCCAUCGGUGACCUUCAUCUCAAAGCAUCGCGACAGAGAAUUAAUAAGCGAGCGGAUACCAGCUACAUCGCUUCCAAUAAUGAGUAUGUCAUCGACAUAAAGGAGAAGAACAAUAAUGCCCGAAGUAGAGCAUUGAACUCAUCCUGCAUGGAUGCGCGCCAUUCUGGUACCUUCGAAGCCUGAGAGAAGCAGGUCAAAGAAGCAUCGGAUUGAAGAGCAAGAAAGCGGGGAGUGGCGGAGAAGACCUUCGGUUUCCCAUCCCUCGACCGAGUAAUCAUAUGAUGACGUGACACGGUGGCAGAAGAUGAUGGUGGCGGUGUAGUCAUGUCAAGUACACCUAGAACCUUGAUCAAAGGCCAAUGGAGGACCAUCAGAGCCAGAGGGAGCAACCUCAGUCGCAGUAACAGCAGGCUGGUCGAAGAUCAGGAGUGGCGCAUCAACAGAAGCAGAAGAGGGCGACGAGACGUCACAAGAGAAAGGCUCAGACGAGCAAGGAGCAACGCGGCUGCACUGGAGAACUGGUAGGUGAUAGAGAUGGGGGAGUGAGAUGAGUAUCAACUCUCUCUCGCGCCUUUCUUCAGCUUGUUCCUGUUCGUCUAUUCGGGACGGGGCAGGCAGCCCACAUACAUGAAGAGAAGAAGAGAGGGGGGGUUCCUUGAUAUUAAGGUGUCAAAGCGGUCGAAGAAGGCCACAAGUGGAAGCAACCGAUGCUUUGGUCAUUCAGUUGACUCCUUGCUGCCAGUCCGUGCUUGCUGUCAUGCUGGCAAAAGCAGGGGUUUCGGCCGGUUUUACCUACUAUUGGAUUUGAACCAAUGACUCUCGCCGUAUGAAAGCGAUACUCUAACCGCUGAGUCAAGUAGGUAAAGCUGAGUCAAGUCAGAAAAAAGAGACCCCUAUAAGAGAAAGCCGCGCAACCAGAGUUCCCCUUACUAUAUAAGGGGGGGCGGAGCGCUAAGAAAGAGAAAGCGUUAUCACUAUACGAAAUGAAGCAGCGGCUAGCACGCUAAGAUCAACCACUUGGAGAACGCGGAGCCUUUCUUUCUCGGUCGUCUGUCUUAAUAGUUGUGGAUUCCGAUUCAUGCGGUCGUUCUCUGCUGCAUUGGUGUUUUCCCUCCCCACUCUCCACCAUAACAAAAUGUUUCAACUAUAUCUCAGGAGUAGUCAAAGGAAGUACGGCGGGUCCGAGUAGGAAAAAAUUCACUAAGAAGUAGGGCAUACAACAAUGGAUCAAUUCAUUCAACAAGAUCCGUUCGGAUCGAACCAGGAUGAAUGGGAUUGGUCUGACCUCUCGCUCGGAUGUAAGACUCCCGCCGCCUGAUCUACGACCACCCAUGCCACGUUUCGUGAACAGCUAUGCCCGAGAAUGAAUGAAUUGUGAUAUAACGCCGAAUAAGCCACUGCUCUAUUCCCGACUCGAAAUCCAUAAAGGACUUUAAGGGAGAACUGCUCUCUCUAUCUCAGCAGCUUUCCCUACUACCGGCACAAGAGGGACUUUUUCUCUAAAGCCUACUUCCUCUCUCUGAUCUCAAAACCCAUUUUGUCUCGGUACUGGAAGCCGCAGCUGACCUGGCCUAUCUUUCUGAUCCGCUAGUACCGAAUUGUUCAGACUUAGGGCCUGCCGAGCGUACGAAAAGGGGAAUCUUUCUCUGAACUGCCUACUCUCUUCCCUCAACUGCGCAUUCAAUAGCAGUUUUUAUACUAUUACUGCUCGUACAAAAACAAUGCCUUGAGGAAUCUGUGCAUCGAGACUUACAUAUGAGACUAGUGAAAUAAGUUACUUGCCCUAGUGCUACUCCCUGGCUUCCUUCCUCCACAGAAGACUUGCUAGAAUAGCUUGUGUCACUUCCUUGCAUGGACAGCUACCACCUCUUCUCUUGACUUUCCUUCGCUUCGGGUAGACUAAGAGCUCUUUCUUUAGUCUCUAUCCUAUCCCCUCCUUCUACUAGCCGACUAGGAGUUAGAAAGCCUGACUUCAACUACCGCUUACAGGGCACUAAGAUUGACUGCUUUUCUCCUCUAGCCACAGACAUGCUUGACUACCACAGACAGGAGACCGCCAUUACUACUUGAACUAUCAAGCCAAUUAGUAACACAGGCUCGGUGGCUCUGGCUCCUUGUCCGGCUGGGAAGGUUCUUUUCUAUACACCAAUCGGCCUACUGGCUCGGGAGGAAGCACUCACAAGUACUGCACUGAUAGGACUGCCUGGACAGCUAAAGGAUGAACUCGAAAGUUUCCCACAAAAAAGAUAAGAUAGAGCUAAUUCUGUAUUUCCCUCAAAAACGAUUUUCUACAUCAAGAGAAGGUGGUUUAAAGAAAGAAUAAUGCCAGCCGAUGAGACUGACCGCUGGGACAGAUCUUAUUUGAAAGAAAGUUAGCAACCGUUGGCUUGCAGGACCGAGACCGUGCUACUGGACUGGCUGUUUUAGUAGGUUGGCUACUCUCUGCGCUCCCAGCUGCUAUGGGAAGAAAGCAAGGACUGAUUCUACUGCUCCUUCACCCAGGGAACGAAUGGGGCUUCGCUACCUAAAGAGAUAGUUUAGAGUUCUUGCUUCCUGCCUUAAAAGCAGAUUUAAAGAGACAAGAUCCGAUUCCUUCAGCCUAUUCAUUCACAGCGGAUGAAGUAAUAACAUUGUACAAUUCUAACUUCAAACCUUUUUGCUUCCUCCCUAACAGGCCAGAGCGAAUGCGGAGGAGAAAAGACGCUGGGUUCUACCACUUAGUAAGUAAGAAGUCCAUAGUAGCGGUCCAUACAGACAAUAGGGGCUAGGUGAGCUCCUCCAAUUGCAUUUCGUCUUUAUAGCGCUAAGCAUAUCAUAUUGCCUGGGAUAACGAGCAUAAGAGCUAAAGGGCUAUUAUCGUAUCAGCCCUCCUAUAGGUUAUGCUAGUUUUUUCCCCUUUCUUUGUUAAUCCUUUGUUUAAUAAAGUGCUUUUUUACUAUAUUUUACCAUAUAGAGUAGUUGCUGUUUUCUUUCUUCAAGAUAGAUCCCCUUCCCAGUGAUACAGUUAGACUUUCUAGUGGUGUAAGCAAGUGCUCCAUUGUGUAAUGGUCUAAGGGCCUUGAAGUUCUAAUCUUACUAUAUCCUCUUACUAUAUCCUAUAAAAAGGUCUAAGGUGUGACUUCUUCCAAUAGUGGGAGGGCUCACAGUAAUCCCGGGUAUACGGGUAUAGCAGUAAUAGGACUUUAACCUUUUUUAUAGGAUAAAGGAUAAGGCAAGUCAUUUUUGAAAGCAAGAGGGCGAUACGAGGUAAGAGUUUGCAGGCCAAUUCCCUAAAUAUAAAGUGAUUCAAUAAAAACAAGCACAAUCCUGUGGUAGGGAUUUUCAUUUUAGUCAAGCUAGCCAGUCCAAAGGAGUCAAGCAAGGAGUCUUUAAUGAAAGAAAAUGGGCAAGUAAGAGAGGGAUUCUCUCCAAAAAGGCUCUAAGAUUAUAGGUCAAACAAAAAGAGGUCAUAGGGCAAAUGAAAUCUAUCCAGUGAAAAAGCCAACCCUAAAAGAAUCUCGUCUCCCCGCCAAUCCUAGUUCUUCGCCCUGUUAAGCUAUCUCUUGCAGCUACAGUUGAAGUUUCUUUCGAUGGGGCCAGUUCCAGGAAAGUGUAAGUUCUAAGGCCUUCCAGGAAGAGUGGGGGUUUUUUAUAGUGAAAGUGUUUUAAUAAGUAGCAUAAAAGGGAUCCCUUUACAAAAAGUCCUAAGGGGCCAGCAAACGGCGAGAUAGACAUAAUUAGGAUAGCAGAUUUUUGGUUCUAGGUCAAUCAAAAGCAGGUUCUAGAGCGAGCUAAGGUCUUCUCCUCCAAUCGAAGUGAUAAAGCCAGUUCCUUGUCAAGUCAGUUAAAGAAGUCAAAUCCAUCCUUUUCUUUCUCUUUCCUGAGAAAGAAAACAAGGAAAGCAAGAAGGCCGGUUAUAGCGAGGGAAGAUGAAAACAGUUUAAAGGUUGUGCUGUCUUAAAUAAUAGCAGUACCCCGGUAAAGUUCUGUCUUCAAAUGUCUUAGAUUCCUGUCCUUAAGUGAAAGUCGAGCGGUAACCUUUAGACUGAAAUUCCAGGUUUGCUGCGAUGAAUGAAUAUACGAACACGAACCUAAUGCUUGCCGAAGAAUAGAUCUCCAGUCUUAAGCUCUAUCAUUAAAGCACAACCGUAAAAUGCAAUUGUUGCUUUCUUCCAGGACAGGAAUGGGAUCACAAGAAUGCCGUAAGGGAGUUGCAGUCUAUGCUGUGUGGGACGGAGGAGUUGCAGUCAUAAAAGAUCUUCUGUCUUAUACCUUUAAGUAAGUCGAUAAGACAAUUAAAGUCCUUUCAGUCCUUUCAUGGAGGAACCGAAAAUACCAAGCUCGCUGAAGAAGGAACUCUCGCGUUCAAUAUAAAAAUCCUUUUCGAAGUGACACUGGAGGGGCCUGAACAUGUAAGUUCCCCACCAGUUAAGAUACAUGGGCCGGCCGAGUUUAGUCAGAAAGGAAAGCUCGAUUCAAGGAAAAUACACACGAGCAAUGACAUUAGAAGGCUUCGAACGACAGACGGAAUACGGAGGGCGUACGGAGAUGAUUCCGGGGGUUAAUUCCCUGCAGGGCUAUUACACAUUCCCGAAGGAAGAUUCAGAGCUAGCACAUCUGGCAGACAAAGAAAAAGCAGUCCUGGCUUGGUAAGCAGGUUAAAAGGCUAACCUGAUAUGACUACUUAGACUGCUUACACUAUUUAUAAAGCGUAGAACACUAAAGGUUGGUCGUAGAUCAGUUCUCUUGUCAAGAAAAGCAGACGUGGAUUCGGGUGCUGAUGGAGAUGCGUAUUGUCAGAAUGCACCUUUUCUUUCGGUAAAGUUUUGAUUGUUCAGACUUAGGGCCUGCCGAGUAAGAAAGAAAGAGAUCACAUUAGUCUCUGCCUUAUAGAAGAUCUAAGACGGAUUCCAUUCAGGCAAGCGCUGCUAUCGAAUCUAGCUAUCCGGAAGUGAAAUAUUGAAGAUACGAUUGAAGAUACGAAUGAAUAGGACAAUAAAGAGAAUAGGCGGAGAAUGCCCUGAUCUUCGGGAGCUGCCGGUCGUCUCUGCCCACUCUAAGACUCUAUUAGGGCUGGCUUGAAAGAAGACUCACUUUAUCACUUGAAGGAAAUGGUUAACUCCAUUCCCAUUUGAAUACCCUUAAAGUAACCCCAUUUGAGCUAUUUAAGGCUAGGAAAAUUUCACCGAUGCUUGCAAGUCAAUUGCACUACUCUUCCUUGCCAUUCGGAUCUGACCCACUUUAAGACUGGCUGGCUUUAACUAGAACUGGAACUGUCGCUUAAUCCGUCCCGUUUCGAGACAGAAAAGAAAGGGGAUGUACGCAAUCAAAUAAUGUAUAGGGCACGACUGACAGGACUGUAAACGAGAACUUUUAUUAUACCCGCAGGUUUGAUCACAUUUAUUUCUUUAAUUCCUGUACUGAUACAAAUAGCAAUAAUACCAAUCAAUUCUCUUAGGUGUUUUCUUGUUGUAAUUCCUUCACAGUACAUAAAGUACAGAAGAUCUUAUAUGCCUGUCGAUCAUUUCAUGAAAACAGAUAAGUGCAUUUCCACCUGAUAAACUUUUCUAGACUAUCGCUCUAGUUGAAGAUAGGUUUUAUUGGCUAUCCUUCCUUCAAGACUUUUGCCUGCGGUCAAAACAUAUCCUUUCCUUCGGCGCCAGUCUUUCCUGGCUUACCUUAGCCCCGCUUUCAUGUGGUGAAUCGGUAUUCAGUUUCUGUGAUCAUUAGACGAGAUUAUCGUUCUGAACCAAAAGUGAGGAAAUCCGCUCUUGCCAGACUAGCUUUCCGUGGAGUCAAAGUCAAGUAGCCCUCGAUGGACCUACUCCUAAGUUGUGAAAUCAAAUCUCCCAAGCCUGGUCCUAUCUUUCCAUUCCUUCUCUGGUUCGGGUGCAGGCUCAACUCCACGGAAAUCUUCACUUACAGGUUGACCUAGAAGUCAAAGUUCUGAUCUCGUCCCAGUCCAUUGACUGAAAUUAAGAAGAUCAUUCGUGCCCGAUGGUCUAUCAUAUAAGUCUUUUGCAAAAUGCCGUUAACCUAUUUAGCUCUUUAUUAUCAAACAUCCUUUAGCUGUCCAGGCAGUCCUAUCAUUGCAGUACUUGUCCUAGUCCCGAGCCUCUAUUUGAGAUGACAGGGAUGAUGUCUCGAAUUGACUACUUUAAGGUAGUGCACAUGGUUUCAGUACGUGAAGGAUUCGGUGCAAAAGCGCUGCUGUCCUAAAUGGAUUCGGUGUUUGUCAACACAGAGUUCCCGACUCCGAGUUAAAUCGGUAAGCUCCAGGGAUAAGCUACUUUGAUAGAGGGUGAUCGUAGAUCAGCAGGAGAAAGAGACUUUUUUUCAAUCUAUCGGGGUUGGAGCUUUCCUUAGGGAAAUGAGUGUACAACAUUCUGAUUUUGCCCUAAUCCUUUUAUAGCUAUAGCCAUUUUUAAAGUAGACAAUCCCAGCUUGGAAAGUGGUUGAGUGAUCAACUUGCAGAGCCGAUUUGAGGAUCGGAUCGGUGGGAUGCCGUAGCUUUAAGAUAAAGGGGAGAAAGGAGGCAGUCGGACAAGUAGGGAAUGCUGGGGUGAACCAGAAAAGUUUGGGUAGAGCCGGAUCGAAAUGAUAGAUUCACUUCAGGAAGCCAAGAAGUCAGUCAGCAUUCAGUUAUAAUGGUGUUUAAGACCAACUCCUUUUAUAAGCUCUUCUGAUAGGGCACAGGAUAUAGCCGAGUCUUUCUUGUUCUUCCUUUGUCACUUUAUGGCUAAUGACCUGUCGAGGACUCAUCAGUCAAGCGGAUAGCAUUGCCUUUGAUUCUUGCUACUGUUCUUACUCACUUGCUAACAGCGCUAGUCGCCUCUGACUCUCUGUGUAUGAAUAGGAAAUGUCAUUCUGUCCUUUCAUCUCCUUAUCCAGUACUGACGCCGCUCUACUUCAGUAUCAAGGUUACCGCUCGACCUUCUCUCCUGCAUAGGUAUGGCGCAUAGAAAGGAUCCACUCUUGACCUUAAUGAGAGUGACUACCCCGACUGACUCAUAUCUAUCGUAAAAGGCCUCCCCGGUAUCAUGCGAAAGGGAUCAGCUACUCCUUUAGCAUUAGCUGGAAAGUAGAGACUUCUCGCAAUCCGAAGCGAGAAAGCACUGGCGCAGAUGGAUGCACCAUUUAGCCUUUGAAUAGAACUAGUUGUGAUGAACCAAGCACUGGAGGUGAAUUCGACAGGGCCUGAUCCUCUGUUUCUUUUCUAUGUAAUCUAAUCUCUCUUUCAACCUCAACCGAGAAGCUGGUCGACGGUGAUCCAAUUGGAAAGCUAAUGAUGGAAUUUCAAAGCCUAAGACAAAUUUUAGAACUCGGUCCUAAAAAGGCCCAUGCUAACAUAUACAUAUAUCUCUUUUCCACCUAGGUCAAAGGGGUAUGGCGCUAUAUAUGCUACACCGAAGUAUGCUCCUAGGUCUGCCUAUGGCUCUGUAUCUACCUCUGUACGCCGGUGCUUCUUUUGAUAAGCUGCAGGAUCAAUGGCUUAAACUACUGCUUCUUCAACGCUUCUCCUGCGACUUGUUCUCCUUUCGUCCUUGCUCCUGCACGCACCUAAAGGUACAGUAUCUAAACGUAUUCGUGUAGCCAGGAGGAAAGCAAAGAUGCCCCGUUCACUUUCAUAGGAACUGAAAUACUUUUUAUAGGAAUUAGAAUAAGCAGUACUUUCUAUCCUUCGGACCCUUGCUUUGGGGGAUCUUUCUUCACUGCCCGAGAAGAGAAGAUCAUAUGCAAUGACAUUUGAGGAAUCCAAGGGCAACUACUGGCUCUAAGCCUAUGCACAUGAAUCAUAAGUGGGACCGUUUAGAUUUCACUUAGGAAAGUAAGAAGAAGCUCGCCCUAAUCAAUAAGCAGGAGAGGAGGGGUCCUUCUUUUUUUGAAUUGCAGAAUCCUUUAUAUUAAGGCAUGGAAUGGAAUCAAUGAUCUUCUUAUCUUCUUUUUCUUGUCCUUUCAGUCGGAGUUAAGAUAGAAGACCUUAAAGAAGAAAAAGAUCAUCCCGUAGGUCCACACUUCUCUCGCCUAUGAGCUGGCUGCAUUCCAGAAUCAAGCUAUUUAAGCAGGGAAGGCUGCGACCUAAUUGUAAUUUAGCUCUUAAUCUCCGUCUAGUUUCCCCCCUAAGCCAGACCUCAGGUACGAGGUUUGAGCUCGACCGAAUCUAAAGAAAGCUAAGGGGAAGGAGCGAAAGCAACUCUAAUUUCAAUCAAUCUCUGACUUAGCCAGCCUAUUACAGCCUUUCUAGAAGAAAAGAAGACAGAUCGUCGAAGGCAAUACACUCGAGCCUCAAAAGAAAUCUCAGGCAGCCUAUACUCAACUCCGGGAACUUGAUGAUUAUGUGCACUCUUUUGUUUUCAAAUCGUCCUUUUAUCCGGCUGAACUCUUUCUUUUUAAAAACUGGUAGGUGCCCUCGUGGGAUUGUCGAUAAGCAAGACCUUGACUAGCUUAUAAGGCUCUCUUUGAGCUACAAGCGAUUUGAGAGCCUCUCCCUUUCCUACUCCCCCUUAUCUCAACUAAAAAUUCAACAAAUUUUCGAAACAAUUUAUUCUUCUUGACAAGGAAUGGGCUUCUACCUGGAAGAAGCACUGACUUCUUUGCGUAAAGAACCUAACCGAAUGCUUCCGUCUGAAGUUAAUAAAAAAAAUUUCCCUCAGACCAUUUCUCCUAGAAUUUCGAUGUCUUGUCUCUUUUUCAAUAGGCCUUUCUAUUCUCAACUCCGUACCUCUCCUUUCAGUCUACAAAUCUUGACCUCGGAACGACCGCUUGCAAUGUCUUCUUCCGUCGCUGCUUACUCUUUCUCUCGAUCCUUUUCUUUCCUAUUGGGAUACCUUUCGAUCUUGGCAUGGCUCAGUGACGUUGGCAGGGAUGUGUCACCAUUUAAGUAGAUAUGCUUAUUCUUGGCAUCAAUGCCAUCUUCCUUUUCGAUAGCAAGCAUCCGAUCAAGGGAGAGUUCAACUAGUUCUAUUGGCUCUAAUCUAUCCCGCCUGAGCGAGGGCCUUAGCAACUGGCAUCCUUUCCUUCGUGCUAACAGCCAAAGACCUAUUUGUCCAAUCCAAACCUCUAAGGCGCAAAGAAGCCCUUCUCUUACGAACAUUGGAGCAUCACUUACUCGAAUCCCGAAAGACAGACUCCUUGAGCACUUGCAAUUAGAUAUAUUAUUAUCUUAUAUAAAAUUAUCUUAUAUUAAAUAGGCUAUUUGCGGGGAAAAGGGGCUUUAAUGCCUUAACAAGCCCUUCUUGGCUAACUGCGGUUAUUCCUCCAACAGCUUAGUCUGUGCAUUCAUGUCAACUCUCUUCUUAUACUAUUGGAUUAACCCCAUCAAGAGGACAGUCAGAAGGCUAGCUGCCCAUUCCUAGUGUCAGUUUAUUUAAGCCGGAUAUUCCCCUCUUUUGCACAAGCCCUUUUUGCUUGAAGCUCUAGCCCUUAAUGCCCUAUUAGCCCUUCUAGCCUUUCAAAAUGGAUUAGUACUAAUUCGAUGGAUGCCAUCUAUGAAUCCUUCCCUCCCUCCAUCUGCUGCAUGAACAUCGACAGUGAAAUCACUUAAUGUAAGGUAGCGGAUGAGGCGAAAGAGCAGCAUUGCAUCGGGAGAUUGCCUCAAAGAAAGAAGGCCCAGCGACUGCACUCAUCCUUUUUAGUUUAAAAAAGAAUCCCUUACCCCCUAUGGUCUAGGGUACUACGGGUGGGUUGGAUAUAAUAUAGGUGUUUGCUAGCAGAUUUUUUUUUAAUAUCCCAAAGUAUUCGAAGAAAAGAAGCCAGCCUGGCAUAGCUAGAGUAGAGGGCCUUGGCCUUGCUCCGGUCAAUUCAAAACUGUGUUUUUCGCUAUACCUUCUGUCUAUCAAAACGAGAGUUUCGGACACCUCAUAGGGCCUUUCUUUAGUAGAGUAACAACAUGAAUGCUUAUAUGCUCCUGCGGUAUCCAAGCACAACGAGAUUCAGGAAGAGUACCUAUUUAGGUGAAUGCUACGGUAGCAGGUCGGGGCCUCGAUCAUAGCAGAGAGGUAGUCUUUCAAAAGGUUGAUUGCUAAUAACCGAAGGGCUUCAUAGCUUAGUCCGUCCGCGCAGUGAGUGGGUCAAUCUCCCUCCUAUUAGCAGGAGUCAUAUCCUUUUGCUAGAAGAAGAGUAUACGCGCCUUACGUGAUAGAGGGCGGGGUUCGAUUUAAGUAGCGCGUGAAGCGGAGGUGGGGGUGGCGACGUUGUUUUGCAAGAGGUGGUAGAGGCAAGUAAGGGCAACAGAGGUAGUUUCAGUUCCACCUAUCACAUGCAGCCGCUUUCCGAGUCAAUUUCGAAAGCCACCAGUAGCAGCUACCCAGUGGAAGAACCAAUUAAUUAGUCACCGGUGAAGAAGGAAGAAUGGACAAGUUUGUGUUUGCAUUGAUUUCCGAGACCUUAACAAGGCUUGCCCAAAAGAUGACUUUUCACUGCCACACAUUGAAAUCUUCGUGGAUAACAACGCUGGCUACGAGAUGUUAUCAUUCAUGGACGCUUUCUCCGGGUAUAACCAGAUUAAGCUCGCUAAAGAAGACCAAGAGAAGACAUCAUUCACUACACCCUGGGGAACCUACUGCUAUGUUGUCAUGCCAUUCGGACUUAAAAAUGCUGGAGCCUGUUAGCCAUAAUCUUCGUAAUGAAUUUAUAUAGUUGGUUGCAUAGGGAGAUUGGCCUGUAGUGUUCAGGUUUUGAGGGACAUCAGAUUGUAUGAUAUUCCAGCAGUGGUUUAUAGAAGUGAGCGUUGAAGCCAUCCGGUCCGGGUGCCUUAACCAAAAUUCAUGGAACCUGAAAGGGAGCCUUCGUUCGAGGACCAGGCUCUGGGGCAGUCGAGCGAGAUAAGUAAAGGAUUUUGAUCUUCUUUCGCAGGACGUUCGAUUCAGUAAUCUAUAGCGGUGCCUAGCUUAUUUGAUAGAUAAUGCUUCUUCCUGGUUUCAACCCCUUCAUUCGUACGCGAUAAAGAUAAAUAUAAAAAAAUAGAAAUAAGGGAAGGUCGCUCGAGGUAUACCUCUUCACUUCAAUGGCUCGAUUUGGUUACUGGAAAAGGACGAGUUUAACAAAGAAAUUGAUUAUGUGACAACGUACACCUUUCUCAAAAGCUCAUCGUAAGAGAUAGACAAAGACCGUUGAUCUACUUUCGAUCUAAAGCACCCAAGAAUUCGACUCGCUUACUUUGAUAUGCUUCAAGCGUAUAUCAGCUUAAAGCUUGCAUGUUUUAAGCAUCUCGCUAGCCUUCCUUUCCUUCUCCUUCUGAGCCAUCCUGGCUCUUUCUCGUGUCGUGUAUAGUCCACAUCCACUCUUACUUAGAUCAAACUCUGAUUUUUUCUUUCUCUACGAGACGCCGAUGAAUAUUGAGAUACGAAAUUCUUGUGAAUGGAAAGCGCAUACAUCGAGUGAAGACUCCAGAAUAGGAAAUGUGAGUCCCACUAACUAAAGGAUUACUAAACGCAAUCACCAGAACCAUCUUAUCUUCGAAUGAUUCAUCCGGCCCAAUGGCUUUGACUCAAUUAAGUAAGAGGAGCUCCACUUUAGGUCUACCCCCUCUCUCAUUCUAUAAUGGAGUCUUCCACUCCUUCUUCUUUUUCUUCUUUUGCAACCUCUUCAAAAAGCUUGGGUGCCUUCCCUUCUCUUCCCUUCUUUACCAAGAUAUGUAAGAUACCUCCGUACCACACCAACUCCAUGUGCAAUAGCCGGUUUUAUAGAAAGCAGGGCAUAGAUCAAGCUCCUUAGCGCUGAGGACUAGGCGAUCUUUUCCAUUUCUUUAUUUUCUUUAUCACUUGAGGUUGAGGGACAAAUGAAAGACCGAAGCCUAGAUCUUCAAAUCCUUCUUCCACGGGCCAAAGUACGUCCAAGUCAGACUGGCCUUGAUUGACUAGAUAAAUUCCUUUCUUCCUUUACCACAUCUUCGGGAACCCCUAGAUUGACAUGAAGAUCCCUACAUUCAUAAAGCUCGAAAGAUAUAAAGUGCAGUCUCCAUACAAGUCGAGCUCGACCGAACCUAGGGUCAAGGGCCCCCUAUCGGGGAAGCUACUACGUUCCGUACCCUUGCGCCCCUCAGAAGGUUUGCGAGAGAAAGACUUUUAACUAAAGUUACCGUGGAAGAAUUGUGAGAAAGCUAUUUUAGAAAGGUACUCUUGAGAAGCUCCUGGAUCAGCCUCCAACUACCUGUACAGGAAGUCACCUCACAGGUUGGACUCUAUCCCCUUGCCAGACGGAACUAUAAGGUAUUAGCCCCCAAGGUAGUCAAGACCACCAGACUUUGGCGCACCCGCUUCUUCUAAUUUUCUAGUUCCAUCACCGGUUCCAAGAAAGAGUGCUAAUCUUGUAAGCCGAGGUGGAGAGAUUAAAUAUGUUAAGGGUUAAACCAGCGCAGCGCUUGCAUCAACUCAUGGCAUGCCAGUGUUUGAGAAGGUAGUCAGAGCACUCAAGGCUCCUUCUAUAUUUUAUCCUCCUAGUUUAGAUAUUAGUGACUUAGCCUCACUACUCUCAUAUGCCUUAGCCGAAGCGAAGUAGAUGCUUUCUGGGCAUGAACUCCCAGCUAUAAAAAAAAAAGUGAACCUUGCAGGAAAAGGUAUAAAUAUGUCCCCCAAGCUUAUAAUAUGUCUGCUCCUCGGUCAAUAGCCCCGAACAGAUCUGCCCUGGGGUAAGAAGCCGCAACAAGACCGAGUUCAAGAGUUGAUGCUUUUUCGGAUAGCUCAAAGGGUUCCAGACUCCGAGGCAAAAAUCUGUCAGGCUUGCUUGGAAGGCUUUCUUGUUGAAAAGAGUUUGACUAGCUUCUUCUUCUUAGUGAAUUGGAAGCACCGGAACUUCAAGGAUUCCAGGAAAAGAGUCAGCCCCGAGUUAUAAAAUUAGUGACUUGAGCUCAGCGGUUGACGCACCAGAACUCUUACCAGGACCAGUGCCAGUAAGCCUUAGAGAUCGUGUGUAACCCUUCCCUUCAACUAUUCGUACUUCGGACGUGUAAAGCUCAAACCUUUCUUAGUACAUGAGUGAAGCUAGACCAUAGGACCCCCUUUCUACUCUUUUUCCUAGUAAAUCCCCUAGAGAAAAGUUUGACUAUCCCUUUGGCGCCUCAGAGGUAAGUAAAGGGUCCGACUCCAUGUUCAGACUUGCUUGCCCCUUCUUCUGAUAGCACUUCUCCUGUGGCACUUUCUCCUUAAAGAAGAUAUGUUGGAAUUCCCACAAGACGUGGUGCGAGGUCUGAACCUGCCUAACUCUCAUAUGUCUUUAGCGCAACAAAUAGGGAUUUUGUCUUUGGACCGGAACGGAACUACUAGCCUGAAAGUCAAAGGGCACAUCCGAUGGUUCUGCCCUUGGUUCUAAUAUGUAUGCUAUGGACGCAGAGGUUUGAAGAGCCUGAAAAAGUGCAAGUGUCCCAGCCGCUUUUUUUUGGGGGCUUCUGCCCCAGCAUCCUUACAGGAUAACGUACAAUGCUCGAUGAACGAUCUAACAAGAGAGCAUAUGAGAUGAGAGGAAAGCGACUUCGUCCGAGGAAUGGAAGGGGUAGCAGUAAGGGGAUAAGCGAUAAAGCAUUGAUGAGCUAAAGUACAUCUUUUGAUGUAAGUCGAUUAUCUCCUAAGAGAAGAUCUUAGAUGCAUUUGAAGAAGUGAACGAAACGAGCGAGUGAAGCGUAGCGUAGCGCGUAUAGAGCGUAAUACUGGAAGCGAGUCAAUAAUACUAAUGCCUUAUAAGAACAAUUAUCGUAGGAUGCGCCAUUCCCUUACUUUAUCGUGCCAGCCUUGCCAAAUGCAUAAAAAAGGUAAUCUUUUCUCGCUGGUAGUUUUGUUACAUUUCGUAAACCAGUAUCUUUACUCUUAAGUGCUUCCAUUCGCUCUAACGCUAAACGCUAUACCUUAACCUUAAAGCAGUGCUUUUGAAAGCAAUAUAUUAAGUAGGAUAUAGACCUUACCUAUUUUGGUAAGCCCUUUUGUAAAGAGGAAAGCCUGAGUCUUUUAAGCUAGUUGAAGUUUGAGUAUUACUAGCAUCUGUUCCAGUUCUCUCUCUUCAAUCCGGUAAGCCCAUUGAAUGGAGAAAGUUUACAUGGUGGGCCAGGCUAGUUUACUUCGAUGGUAGGAAUCCGCGCAGUAUCGGAAGCCAUUUUUAGCCAUUUACAGCAGCCCAGCCGAACGAAUAGGAUCCCUUUCAAGCUCUUUACCCAGAGGCGCCAGUCAAGCCAAGAAAGUUAUUUUAUCCAAGCUAUAAAGAUCCAUCAAUUCAGCAGACAAAGGCAAGCCCUCCACUUCUUUGUUAGUAGAGUCAUUCUCGUCUUGUCCAUAUGAUCUAACUCGUAAUUGAAUCCAAAAGUCUGCUGUUACAGCUAGUGAAGAGAGAUUUCGAGUUUCAGUUUGAAGCCCAAAAAAGGCAGCUUAUUUUUUAGCUCCUUUGUAGGACCACCCCUACCCUUGGUCAUAAUCCAUUCAACGCAACGUGUUGAAGCUAGUGCUUCUGUCUUCUCGGCGAGUGAAGCUGCAGUGGUAAUCCCUUGCAGUCUAAGCUAAGUCCCCUUUUCAGAUGUAUGGAAUGCUAUAUAUUUCCACGAUGGUGGGGAUAAGAUUGGCUAACUAUCUUUUUUUAAUAUAUGGAUUCACCUAGGAGUACUCCUUGUAUUCACCGAGCCUGUCUCCCCAGGGCUCUCAACCCAACCCCUAAAGGGCAAUAAAGGGCACUACUACUGCGGAUUCACACGAGAACUCAAUAGCUCUUUCAAAUGGAGUGACCCCACCUGUAACUGGCUUUAUCACAGGAAUUUUCCUUUGCUCGAAUGGAUGGAUAGCUUGAACUAGCUUUCGACCACUGGAUCUUGUCUUUCAUCUAAGCCUUGAAAGUCAGUUUAAUUUAGUUUAAAAGAAGCUUAGGCCAACAGAAUGAAUAGAAUAGUAGACAUGCAGUCGUAAAGCCGCAUCAGAGAAGGCAUCGAAUAGGACAAGGAACUGAAAAGAAAACAAAAUGUUAAUAGCAGGGCAGGGAUAAAGAUAGGCCUUUUCUUUUACGACCCUUUUUUGAACUGCUGCCAUUAAGGCGACAUCUAAUGCCAUCUCAUAAUAGCCAGAAGAAGCUGCACAUAAGACAGAGUUUUAUUUCCUGCCGAUGUUACUAAGGAAGUCUUACAGGGACCCGUUGGGGGACGAAGCUUUUGAUGACUUUUUAUAUGAGGAUGAGCUUCAAGCUGUAUUCCAACUUGGACAGGACCGUGAUCGAUGAUUGCAAUGAUGAAGAUCCGGACUAUGGAGGGUCUCUUUUUUGGUUAUUUUGAAUAUUAUGUUCCCGAUCUGGUCUUGCCUUUUAUCUUUAAGGCAAGGACUGUGAAGAUGUGGAACAGCAACCAGAUAAGGACCCAGAUCCCGUUAAGUCUGACAAGAUUGUUUUUGAGAGAAGCCAAGUGAGAAAAUGAUCAAGCACCUCUCCAUCACUGUGCACAUGGACGGUUGCCCAAUUUCAAGAGUGCUUGUGGAUAAAGGUGCUGCCCUUAAUGUGAUGCCCAUCACCCUGCUAAAGUAUUGGGUAAUAAUGAGGAAGAUGGUAUACCAACAGAUGUCUGGUUUCACAAGAGGAGAGGAGUGACUGAAAAAAAAAGGGGGAUGCUUGCCUGUGGAGCUGACAGUUGGCCGAAAUAAGGUCAUGGCAAUGGCACCCUUAUCUUUUGGCAUGAAGACAGAGUUAAAAUCGUGUGGGUGUGGGCUUUUUCUUGUACUCACAUGCAAUCGAAGCAUUUCUCUAUUCAUAUCCUUUUAGUGAAGUUUAUAGGCAAAAGAAAAAAAUGCCGUCCAACAGGGAUCUCGGAAAAGCUGGUCACUAAAGCUGCUCGGACGAUGGACAUAGUACCGUCUAGGCCGAAGUCAGCUUUGCAUCAGUAAGGAAAUCACCUUAUAGAUAAUUACAUUACAUAAAGCCGAUUCCGAAAAAUGCAGCGGUUCAGGCCACCUUUGACAGAAAAAACCAGUACUUGGCUGAAGUAAUGAAGUCCAACUCCCUACCAGAGUGUUUUGAGGCAGGUUGUGUGUGGUUGGUGGAUGAAUCUUCGGCCGAAGAAAGAAAAAUGGAAGACUUGGAGGUGUCCCCAGAAAAGUUAGAUGAUGUGAAGGCAAAUGUUCAGGAUCCGCUACAGGAUAUUCACUUAGGUACGGCUGAAUAUCCACGGCCUGCUUAUAUUAGUGCUUUUCUUACUGGUUAAAAUUAUCCAGUUACUUAAAAAAUUGGAAGAUUGUUUUGCUUGGGACUAUACUGAAAUGCCAGGUUUGAGCCGUGAACUUGUUGAGCACCGGCUACCUCCUAAAUAAGGGUUUAGGCCAUUCAAGCAACCACCCUCCUCCCCUGACCAGAAAAGAGAUCUGUCGUGAAGUCCGGCUUGAAGAACCGUCUUUCGCAUUGUUGGAGAGUACGCUAUCCCGGAACCUGAGACUGAAAUUUAUAUCACGUUAUCCGUUUACGCAGAUUUCUUUCCAGCUAACAUCUUUUUGUAUUCGGUGAAUGACCCGGCUACUUUAUGUCAUUAAAAGAAUUGAGAAGUCUUCUUACGCCAUUUAAAAAGAGGACACUGAGGGGAAGGUUGUACAGCUUUCUCCAACUUGCUUUAUUAGCAGUGAAAGCUAUUAUUUAUAUUCACAAGCUGACCAGAAGCAUAUGGGAAUACUCGUCCUUUUGGUUUAUUGACGAGAAUACCCUUCUCACAAAGAGGAAAGCUAAGGGGCUUAUGUCUCUCUGCAUGAAGAUCAUAUACUUUAAAAGAAAAGACAUCCUCCUUCUUUCCAAUCGCUAGAUAUUCAGGCUGGGAAAAAUUAGUGAACUUUUUAGAAUAUUCCCGACUGGAUGAUGCUGAGACGGAUUCUCUGGAGCAUCAAGCUCAACAGGCUGCCUAGAUGUAUAUCGAUCUUAAAAACAGACUUGGACUUGAUAAUCAUUAUUUGCCUUGUUCCAGUUCUAUUUGUUUAACCUGAAACUGGUUUGGCAUCAAAAGGAACUGCAAAUGCCUGAAAGCUUUCUCCCACAAGAUGAGCUUACCUUAUGACUUAAAGAUCUCAAAUCGCAAUGAAGGAAAAUACCUAUUUGCAUAAAGGACUGUCACAGGAUCUCCCCUGGCAAAAAAGGGAACUCAAAUUGCCUGAAAAUCAAAUCACUACUACUCUCAAGCCGGACCCUUCGGCAAUUGGACAGUAAUUCGAAGUCCAGUACCGGCGAACAAGUAGUCCCAUCCCACGCCUUACUCCUCGAAUGCUUUGGGCAUAGUUUAUAAAAAGAUUCAUGCUAAGGACUAGCGCCCCUUGCUGCACUCUAUAAAAGCAGACUGCCCCCCCUAAUCCUAUAAAGCUACAAUACAGGUUUUUUCUUCUUUUUUUUUUUUGUGCAAUAGAUGCACACUAUUGGGAUUGGGAUAGAAAAUUGCAUUGCCUUGAUGUGCCUCUAUUAGCUACAUAGACCCAACGCUUCACUUAGCUAUCUUAGAUUCACCUAUCUUACUCUUGGUGCUAUCGUAUAGUUGAUCACGGCUGCUUAAUAAGUCAAUCCAAUACCCGGAGUAGACAAACAAUCUCCGACUCCGAGAAGAAGAAGAGUGAGCAGGGAAAAAAGCCUUGGUGAUGUAUCUACUUUCAUCGAGUAUGGUGUGAAUUCUACCCACGUAGCGAGAGAAUAUAUCAAAUCAUUAGCUCUGGUUCACCCUCUUUAUGAAAAGUAAUAUGCUUUUUCGAGGAAGCACCGCCCAAUAGAGCAUAGCCCAAGAGAGGGAUUGAAUAUCCUGUGUAUAGAUCGAAGCAGGCCUUACUUUAUAUUUAGAAAGACUCUUUCUUUCCUAGUUGUUGAUUCCGCCCAUUGGGCAAUACAAGAAUACGCUCUGGGACUGAUUCAUUUUAUAUUACCCGUCUUUUUUGACAAAAGGACAGUUAUUUACCUUAAAAAGAGGCUGAUUCAAUACAAUAGCAUUGGACUAACUCGGAAUUUAGUCAAGCAGUACUGAUCCCCUGAGAUACAUUCCAAGGAAAUGGGAAUGGCACUCGCUAUUGAUGGAUUGGUGCACUCACUCCCUUAUUGGUAUAUAGAUGCAAAUACCAAGAAUCCGCUUCCUUCAGUGCCACUUUUGGCUAUGAUACCUAUAGCGGUGGAAGUUCGCUCAUCAAAGAGCGCUAUUCAGCUUUUUCAGAAAAAAGAGAAUUAAAAACCCGAUACCCUUUUCUUCUUAGAACGCAAGCUCUAUUGUCACAAUAAAUGACAGGUGACUGGGCUAGGGCAGAUGGGGAGGUGCUUUUUCAUAGCGAUCUUUCAUAUCCAAGCCCAAGAGACAGAUCCAUAGUUCAACAGUAGAAGUUGCGAAUUGGUCUCAAAUGCUUAUAGAAACAAAAGGGAUUUGGUCGAAACCAAGUACUAAUUGGAUUGUUGGGUUGGAACCGGCUGCUUCCAAAAAGAAGCCUGUCGUUGGCAAAGCGAUCAUCUAUCUUUGGUUCCAGGUUUUCAUCAUCAAGUAAAAAUGUUAUAUAAAAGGAUUCUAAGAAGAUCACUAACAGAAAAUGCCGAGGGUCCUCUUCUUGUCUUGGUUCAAAGCGCCAUAAAAAGAAAGAAGAAGCUAAUGACUAUUAGGGCACAGACCCAGACACUAAAUUCGUUUAAUGUAAAACGUAUAGUAUCAUUUUAGCCCUUAUAUUCCUGAUAGGGGGAAAGAGGAUAAAUCCACAUAAGUUACUAUACCGGCUGCGAGGAUUUAAUUGUAAUCAAUAUAAGUUGAUACAGCAACUGCGGGGGAUCGCUUUCUUCAAGAGUCUAUUUGCCAAUCAGCCUCAAAAGGUAAAUUUAUAAAUACAAAUGUUAAGAAUCUUUUUAAUUUCAAGUUGCUGGAGCUUCAGCUUCACGUCGGAAAGGAAAUCUAGGCCGAAUCUUUAGAAUUUGAUUUUCCAGUCAGUCAGGGAAUCGAGCCCCUCUAUAGUUUUUUGUUGCCGAAAAGACUUCAUUAGAUAAGACUUUUUUGGAAUCAAUACCUAAACAAAUAUAAGGGCAUCAGCCAGUUUUAAGUGAAUGUUGUCGAACCAGCUAUUGAGUUUGAGUUGAAAGCUGGGGCCCUUGGGCCCCAUAAAAGUAUUGUCACCAGCUAAGAAAGGAACUGCCUUAGUUUUUGUACGAGUAAGGGAUAUCAUAGUAGCAGGAAUAUGCCCAGAAUCUGAUGCUCUAAGUCCCUGCUUUGGCAGCCCCUGUCCGAAUCUAACAAGAGGUUGCAUGUGUUAAGCCUUCUUAGGGAUUAUACCUCUCUAAGGGCCUACGACGAAUAGGCUAUUCUAGGGGGCAUUACCGGUUAACUCUUUGAAUCAGAGAAGGGGGAGAUCUUUCUCUGUCUAUUUUUGCAUUAAAACAAGAGUUUCAGAGGGCUAAGAUAAAAGCCCUAUUCUUCGUUUUCGUUUCGAUUGAUAACCUCGGUCAAACUAUGGAUAAAAAAAAAAAAAAAUAGGAGUAAUUAACUGUGACACGUUCACUAAAAAAAAAUCCUUUUAUAGCAAAGCAUUUAUUAAGAAAAAUUGCUAUGCUUAACACAACGUGGGAAAAAGAAAUAAUAGUAACUUGGUCCCGGACAUCUACCAUUAUACCCACAAUGAUCGGCCAUACUAUUGCUGUACAUAAUGGAAAGGAGCAUUUUCCUAUUUAUAUAACAGAUCGUAUGGUAGGCCACAAAUUGGGAGAAUUUUCAUCUACUCUAAAUUUCCGGGGACACGCAAAAAACGAUAAUAGAUCUCGUCGUUAAAAUAACGAUACUUAUCCUUCAUUAUUCAUUAGUGGGAGGUGAACCUUAUGACAAAUAUGUUAAGGAACAUAAAUAAAGACCCAUUUAUAUUUACAAGAGAAAAAGAAGAUAUAAAAUGAAAAACAGAAGUAUACGCUUUAAGUCAAUCUAUCUCUAUGUCUGCUCACAAAGCGCGAAGAGUACUUGAUCAAAUUCUUGGACGUUCCUAUCGGGAAACACUUACGAUACUUGAACUCAUGCCUUAUCGAGCGUGUUAUCCCAUUUUUAAAUUAAUUUAUUCUGCAGCAGCAAAUGCUAAGCACAAUAUGGGUUUGAACGAAGAAUAUUUAGUCAUUAUUAAAGCCACAGUCAACGAGGGUACUACCGUGAUAAAAUUGAAACCUCGAGCUCGAGGACGUAGUUAUCCGAUAAAAAGACCCACUUGUCAUAUAACUAUUGUAUUGAAAGAUACAGCCUUAUAUGAAAAAUAUGUCGUAGAAAACCCCACUACUAUACUCAGGUGUUUAAAAAAAACCGGAUGGAUAUAUAAAAAGAAGUCCACAGAUAUUACGUGUCAUAAUAUGUAUAGUAGUGGGGGAGUAUGGGACAAAAAAGAAAUCCCCCACUACUAUAUGGUUUCAGACUUGGUACAACCCAAGGUCAUCAUUCGCUUUGGUUUGCACAACCAAAAAAUUAUUUUUUUACGGGGGUCUACAAGAAGAUCAAAAAAUACGGGAUUGUAUCAAGAAUUAUGUACAAAAAAAUAUAAGAAUAUCCUCUGGUGUCGAGGGAAUUGCACGUAUAGAGAUUCAAAAAAGAAUCGAUCUGAUUCAGGUCAUAAUCUAUAUGGGAUUCCCAAAGUUAUUAGUAGAAGGUAAACCACGAAGAAUUGAAGAAUUACAGAUGAAUGUACAAAAAGAAUUUAAUUACGUGAACCGAAAACUCAACAUUGCUAUUACAAGAAUUACAAAACCUUACGGACAUCCUAAUAUUCUUGCAGAAUUUAUAGCCGGACAAUUAAGGAAUAGAGUUUCAUUUCGCAAGGCAAUAAAAAAAGCUAUUGAAUUAACUGAACAGGCAGAUACAAAAGGAAUUCAAGUACAAAUUGCAGGGCGUAUCGACGGAAAAUAAAUUGCACGUGUCGAAUGGAUUAGAGAAGGAAGGGUUCCCCUACAAACCAUUCGAGCUAAAAUUGAUUAUUGUUCCUAUAGAGUUCGAACUAUAUAUGGGGUAUUAGGCAUCAAAAUUUGGAUAUUUGUAGACGAGGAAUAAAAUAAUAAGCCCUUCCUUGUCUUUUCUUUCGUUCUAUCCAGUAAUGUAAUGAAACAAAAAAUGACAAAUUCUUUCAUUCUUUUUCUCUUCAAUCAAAACAAAAAUGAACAAUUAGAAAUUAAUUCUAUAGGGUUGAAUAAAGAUUCGAUUGACCAUUUGAUAUAAUUGCUAUGCUUAGUGUGUGACUCGUUGGUUUUUUGUAGGAUUAGGGUUCAAAACAAAAAAUGGACCGGCCCAUACAUAGUAUGAACUCAAAAUUACAGAAUUAAUAACCAACUCAUCGCUUCACAUUAUCUAGAUCUAAACAACCAGUCAAGAUAUGAUAUAUUGGUCAUAUCAUUGUAGCAACUGAAAUCUUUUUUGCAUAAAAAAAAAAAAAAACCAAACCAAUCUGAUUAUGAGUUUGGGAAGCGAAAUCUAGAAUGAUGUGGAUAAAUGGAAGAAGGGUGAGAGAAAGAGAUAAAAAGAACGCCAAUGAUAUAUGAUUCCAAUAUAAUAUGUAAGGUCUAUGAAUCAUUUCAUAAAAAGCAGUGUAAUAAAGCAUCAAACUAAUUCCUCCCGAAUUAAAUGAAUAUGUUCAUAGAAAAAAAAUCAAGAGCCUAGAGCCAAUAAAGACUGAGAAGAUUGACUCAAGAACAGGAGCUCCAUUGUAUAAUUCAGACCUAACCAUUAAUUGAGAAGCGAUGGGAACGACGGAAACCUGUGAAUACAGAAGAUUCUAUUAAAAACGAAUCCUAAUGAUUCAUUGAGUGGGAUGGCGGAACAAACCAGGUAUCAAUUCAUUUGUUCUGAAAGAUCGUGGGCUAACCUUACAAUUGAAAUAGAUAUUGAAAGAGUAAAUGUUCGCCCGCGAAAGCUUUAUUUUACCGAAUUGCUCUAUUUUUUGAGCGAUCCGAUAUGAUAAAGACAAAACAAAAUAAAGAUUCGUUAUAGCCUUAUAUAUUAUUAUAUUUUAAAUAAAUUAUAAAUAUUAUAAAUAAAUUAUAAAUAAAAAAUUACAUUAUCUAUAAAUAUAUGUUUAGCUAUAUAUCCAAAAGCUAUAUAUAAACAAGAUAUAAAAAUUUCUAAUAGAAAUAGAUUAGAUGAAAAUUAGAUGAAAUAUCAAAGAAUCCCACGAUUCAGUGUAUUAUUCAAAAAAAUGGAAUUUUAUCUUAACUAAAUUUUUUUGAAUCAUUUCAUUCGCGAGGAGCUGGAUGAGAAGAAACUCUCAUGUCCGGUUCUGGAGUAGAGAUGGAAUUUUAAAAAGACCCAUCCACUAUAACCCCAAAAGAACCAGAUUCCGUAAACAACAUAGAGGAAGAAUGAAGGGAAUAUCUUAUCGAGGUAAUCGUAUUUGUUUCGGUAGAUACGCUCUUCAAGCACUUGAACCUGCUUGGAUCACAUCUAGACAAAUAGAAGCGGGGCGACGAGCAAUGACACGAAACGUACGCCGUGGUGGAAAAAUAUGGGUACGUAUAUUUCCAGACAAACCAGUUACAGUAAGACCUACAGAAACACGUAUGGGUUCGGGGAAAGGAUCCCCCGAAUAUUGGGUAGCUGUCGUUAAACCAGGUAGAAUACUUUAUGAAAUGGGCGGAGUAGCAGAAAAUAUAGCUAGAAAAGCUAUUUCAAUAGCGGCGUCCAAAAUGCCUAUACGAACUCAAUUCAUUAUUUCGGGAUAGGAAUAAAAGAAAAAGAGGUCUUUGGGAUGAAAAAAAAUUGCAGGUUUCUUUUUUUGAUUUUGGACAAACAAUAUUUCUUUUUUUUUCCUUCGUUCUUUGCAUUGAAAAAUCGAAUAAAAAAAUGAUAUGAUUCAACCCCAGACCCAUUUGAAUGUAGCGGACAACAGCGGGGCCCGAGAAUUGAUGUGUAUUCGAAUCAUAGGAACUAGUAAUCGCCGAUACGCUCAUAUUGGUGACGUUAUUGUUGCUGUGAUCAAAGAAGUAGUACCAAAUAUGCCUCUAGAAAGAUCAGAAGUAAUCAGAGCUGUAAUUGUACGUACCUGUAAAGAACUCAAACGUGACAACGGUAUGAUAAUACGAUAUGAUGACAAUGCUGCAGUUAUUAUUGAUCAAGAAGGAAACCCAAAAGGAACUCGAAUUUUUGGUGCGAUCGUCCGGGAAUUGAGACAGUUUCAUUUUACUAAAAUAGUUUCCUUAGCCCCUGAGGUAUUAUAAGACGAGACCAUGAUAUAGUUAUAGUAAGCGAAUGAAAUAGAUUAAUUAGUAGAUUGUGUUUCACGCAUAUACCUUUAAUUUAAUAUUAAAUAGAAUUCAUAAAUAAAAAAAUAAAAAAGAGCAUGUUGAUUAUAUCAAAAUUAGCAGGCACCAAUAAUUUGAGUUCAUCAUGGGCAGGGACACUAUUGCUGACAUAAUAACCUCUAUACGAAAUGUCGACAUGGAUAGAAAAGUAACGGUUCGAAUAGCAUCUACUAAUAUCACCGAAAACAUUGUUAAAAUACUUUUACGGGAAGGUUUUAUCGAAAACGUGAGGAAACAUCAGGAAAGCAACAAAUAUUUUUGGGUUUUAACCCUGCGACAUAGAAGGAAUAGGAAAGGAACAUAUAGAACUAUUUAAAAUUUAAAACGGAUCAGUCGACCUGGUCUACGAAUCUAUUCUAACUAUCAACGAAUUCCUAGAAUUUUAGGUGGUAUGGGGAUUGUAAUUCUUUCUACUUCUAGAGGUAUAAUGACAGACCGAGAGGCUCGCCUAGAAAGAAUUGGUGGAGAAAUUUUGUGUUAUAUAUGGUAAUCCUUCUGAUAUUCGAAUUGGAUCCGGAACUUCCUAUUUGUGAAAAAAAAAAGAGAAAGGGCGGGUUGUCUAAUAUCACUACUCCUCCAUUAAUUAAUACUUUAAGGGGGUUUUACCUGGAAUGAAAGAACAAAAAUGGAUUCAUGAAGGUUUAAUUACUGAAUCACUUCCCAACGGUAUGUUCCGGGUGCGUUUAGAUAAUGAAAAUAUGAUUCUAGGUUAUGUUUCAGGAAGGAUCCGACGUAGUUUUAUACGGAUACUACCAGGAGAUAGAGUCAAAAUUGAAGUAAGUCGUUAUGAUUCAACCAAAGGGCGUAUAAUUUAUAGAAUCCGAAACAAGGAUUCGAAUAAUUAGGGAGUUUUUUCAACUUCAACAUUCCUUUUUUCAUGGAGAUACAAUUCGAAGUUCAAAAUUUCAAGAAACUUAUUUUCUUCCAAGAAGUAGAUUCUUAAUUAAGUUAAGGUAAGGAAUAAAAAAUAUGAAAAUAAGGGCUUCUGUUCGUAAAAUUUGCGAAAAAUGUCGACUGAUCCGUAGACGGGGACGAAUUAUAGUAAUUUGUCCCAACCCGAGACAUAAACAAAGACAAGGAUAAUUUUUCUAAAAGAGAUUCUCUAAAGAACCCGAUGUACAAAUAAAAAAAAAAUCAUGUUUUGACAUGAAAUGGAUAUAUCCAUAUAUCUCUUACUCAUAUUUAUGAGAUGAUAAAAUAUGGCAAAACCUAUACCAAGAAUUGGUUCACGUAGGAAUGGACGUAUUGGUUCACGUAAGAGUGCGCGUAGAAUACCAAAGGGAGUUAUUCAUGUUCAAGCAAGUUUUAACAAUACCAUUGUGACCGUUACAGAUGUACGGGGUCGGGUGGUUUCUUGGUCCUCGGCCGGUACUUGUGGAUUCAGGGGUACAAGAAGAGGGACGCCAUUUGCUGCUCAAACCGCAGCAGGAAAUGCUAUUCGUACAGUAGUGGAUCAAGGUAUGCAACGAGCAGAAGUCAUGAUAAAGGGUCCUGGUCUCGGAAGAGAUGCAGCAUUACGAGCUAUUCGUAGAAGUGGUAUACUAUUAAGUUUCGUACGGGAUGUAACUCCUAUGCCACAUAACGGCUGUAGACCUCCUAAAAAAAGACGUGUAUAGGAAUAAACUGUGUAGAAAUAAACAUUGAAGAGAUUUCAAGAGAAAUAAAUGAUUCAAUGAUCUGAUCAAGUAAUAUUACUAUGGUUCGAGAGAAAGUAACAGUAUCUACUCGGACACUGCAGUGGAAGUGUGUUGAAUCAAGAGUAGACAAUAAGCGUCUUUGUUAUGGACGCUUUAUUCUGUCUCCACUUAUUAAAGGUCAAGCCGACACAAUAGGCAUUGCGAUGCGAAGAGCUUUGCUUGGAGAAAUAGAAGGAACAUGUAUCACACGUGCAAAAUCUGAGAAAAUACCCCAUGAAUAUUCUACCAUAGUAGGUAUUCAAGAAUCAGUACAUGAAAUUUUAAUGAAUUUGAAAGAAAUUGUAUUGAGAAGUAAUCUGUAUGGAACUCGCGGCGCGUUUAUUUGUGCCAGGGGUCCUGGAUAUGUAACUGCUCAAGACAUCAUUUCACCGCCUUCUGUGGAAAUCGUUGAUAAUACACAACAUAUAGCUAGACUGAUGGAACCGAUUGAUUUGUGUAUUGGAUUACAAAUCGAGAGGAAUCGCGGAUAUAGUAUAAAAAAAAAGGCCAAAUAACUUUCAAGACGGAAGUUAUCCUAUAGAUGCUGUAUUCAUGCCUGUUCGAAAUGCGAAUCAUAGUAUUCAUUCUUAUGGGAAUGGGAAUGAAAGACAAGAGAUACUUUUUCUCGAAAUAUGGACAAAUGGGAGUUUAACUCCUAAAGAAGCACUUCAUGAAGCCUCCCGUAAUUUGAUUGAUUUAUUUAUUCCUUUUCUACAUGCGGAAGAAGAAACUUUACAUUUAGAGUACAAUCAACACAAGGGCACUUUACCCCCUCUUACUUUUCAUGAUAGAUUGGCUAAACUAAGGAAAAACAAAAAAGAAAUAGAAUUGAAAUAUAUUUUUAUUGACCAAUUAGAAUUGCCUCCCAGGAUCUAUAAUUGCCUCAAAAGGUCCAAUAUACAUACAUUAUUAGACCUUUUGAAUAAGAGUCAAAAGGAUCUUAUUCAAAUUGAAGAUUUUCGCAUAGAAGAUGUAAAACAGUUAUUGGGCAUUCUAGAAAAACAUUUCACAAUUGAUUAACCGAAGAAUAAUAAAUAGAUUGCAUUUUUUUCAUAUUUAUUUUUUUUUUAGAAAAAAAAACUGGGUUUUGAAUCUUUAACCAAAUCCAUAUAUUCGGAAUAGAUUCAGAAUUUAAUUGAAUAGAUGUAUCUAGGGAGAAUUCACUUUGAAGCGACUAUUCCCUAGAUACACAUGCGGGAUAUUUUAUUUCACAAUUGAAUCAAUUUCCAUUUUAAAAAGACCUAAAGUUAGGGAUUUAUCAAUAGGUAAUGUUGCUCCAAUACCCAACCAAAGGGCCACUGCGGUACCAAUCAAAAAAACGGUUGUCGCUACUGGACGACGAAAUGGAUUUUGGAAUUUAUUAACAUUUUCCAAAAAAGGGAUUGAUUGUUGAAAGAAUCCUGAUUUUUCCGGUCCGCCUUUCCUUUUCUCAAAUACGUGGAAGAUACCCGCACAGCUUUAGAAUAGAAGGCACUAAAGAAAAUAGCUGGUUCUGGCUUUUUACUUGCUUACCAAAAGAGACUCUAACUGAAAGGAAAACUCAAAAUAGAGGGAAGAGCACUAACUGGAACUCCUGAGGAUUGACUGUUAGCUCAUUUUUCUCAUUUUGCUCGAUAGGUUCCUCAGAAAGAAUUACUGAGACUUUUGGUUUGAUACUAGCUUGACUAGCUGUUACUCUAAUGCUGGCUGGAAAAGGAACGAAGUCAACUCUAUUGUAAAUAGGAGGAAGGGUUACCGGAGAGCUUUCACAACCUAGCCCUAGCUCUUGUUUUACCCUGAUUGAUUGAAUUGAAAGAGACUCCCUGGUCCAGGAGACAAAGCGCAUCUUCUUCUAUAGAUAGAGGCGUUGGAUAGGGAGAGGUAACUCUUUCAUCAUCUUUUAAAUAAAGAAGUCAAAACUUUCUUUUCUAUUGGAGGAAAGACUCCAACUUAAAAAAGGGCUUAUACGGCAUACCCAUAGGACUCCUUCUUUUGUUAUGGAUGGGCUUAACCUUCACACCCAAGCUUUCAAACUCCCCAGCUCUAGCCCAUUAUCCUGUAACCUUGCCUUAAGUUAAGGAACAUCAAAGGGGACUGACCUUUCGACAAGAGAUUCGAUUUUUUUACCUUAAAAAAAAGAGAAAACCUACUGGCUCUGACUAGAAUGAAGCUCCAACUCAAAUAGAAGGUAUAGGUUUAUAGAGCAAUUACUUCCAAGUAAGAAAGGCCCGCCUAUGGGACCUCUUUUAUUCGCUCGCCUGGCCUACAAUAAAACUCAAAGCACCAUCGAAGGCAACAGUAAUUCAAACUCCAGAGGAGGCAGAAGGUGUAACUGUAACUGUAAAAUUCCUUGGCCCCAGAACCAAACCAGCUUAUGCCUUACACAAGGGAUGAAAUUGAGUAUGGUGGGGAGAGUCAAAAUGGACUUAACAAUUAUAUAUAAGGAAAGGAAACUGCCACUUGGGCAGAAAAAAAACUAUAUGCCCUUAGGAUGCCACUCUCCUUCCAUUCCAACUAGUAGGCCUUUCUCGAAAUGCAUAUGAAAAAGCAUUACAGGAAGAAGGCGUGGUAGAUAGCUUUUGUAACGCUUCAAAACAUGAGCUCACAGCAUGAGAAAGAGGGGACGAAAUUCCAUAGUGAGGUCCCAUUAUCACAAGAGGAAUUAUUUAGUGCCAUAAGCAUAUAAAAGAAUCUCGUCUUUCAUUGCUUAAGAAUAUUGAUAGACUCAAAAUAAGAAUGAAGAUGUAUAUAAUGCUGGAGAAAGCAACCUUUUAGUAUAGUAGUAUUCCAUAUAUAAGUGAAAUACCAGAGCGAUUAUUCUCCUUUAAAAAGAAUCUUAUCCCAAUCAAACCACUUUUUUUUUGACCUUAUCGGAUACUCAUUAAGAAGGAGAGUACUUCCGGUUCAAGGCUUUGACUUCAUACUCGCUUACACCCACACCCUUAGACCCCUAAAAAAGCACUUAAGACUGCUUAGAAGGAAUUAGCACUCGGUAUAAAGGAAAGGGAUAAAAAUAUACUUCUUACCUUUCAACUCCUGGCACUAGGGGGAACUACAGGUAGUGGUAUGAAGAUUAAGACUAGUUAGUAUACUGGUACACUCCGAUUGAUCCCUGGAUUCCUGCAAUGAGAAUGAUUAUAAUGAUUAUGUGACCAAGUUUUUAGGCUGAUAUCAGGAUUUGCUUUACUAUAAUCUAAGAUACACUGGAAGAUAGAAAGCAGUUUGCCCAUUCAUUGGAAUGGCUUACCCCUUACCUUAAUAACUAUCAGGGAAAAGAAAAAGAACUCACUCUUAACUUACUUAUCUUUUUUCACUUUUUAACACUAUUCGCUACUCAAUUUGAAUAGCACAAGAAUUUAAAUCGCUGGUCUGUAACCUAUUCUCUCCUAAGGAAAUUAUUACCUAAUAUGAAAAAUUGGUUCAACUAGAAAACCCAACCCCCCAAUAUAUAAAGAAAGACUUAGCACUCGCAGAAAUGAUUGAAAUUGAAGGGAAGCACGAAGGUAUAAUGAAUAUCCGCCUUUAUAUAUUGGGGGGUUGGCCUAUUAGGUAAGAGAAUGAGUCUUCAACCUGGAGACCCUGCUAUAGGUGUACCAGGGAGUACGCUUCUCCUUACACGGCAAGUGCGAAUCCACGUUAUUGGGAGCUUUUUUUUUUUUUAACUACUAUAUCUUUAUUUUGACCUCCUUUAGCCCACUAAUCCUUAGAACAAACUAACUAAGACCGUAUAGGCCCCACAGGAUGGGAUAUAUUCUGUGUAGAUUCCUUCCGACCGAGUCCCAGUAGCAGAGUCUUUGAGGCACGAAUCUAACGGCAAGGGAAUCAGCGGCUGAUCGCGAUUCAUCAGUCGCAAUUCUCCCAGCAGCUAUCCAUUUUAGUUCGACAGUCAAUGACUGAGCUGUGAUUGCAUAGGUGGUAGAGCAAGCUGGAGCGGAGGCAGUAGAGACGAAGGUGAGAGCAGAGGGGGGUAAGAGUAGGGCGCCUAGUUACAGUUCGCCCGAAGCAUCGCUAAAGGCAUAGGCAGUCAGAAAGAAAAAUCGUGGUCAAUCUUUUUCAGGCUAUCGAAUCAGCAAGGGCGUAGCGAAUAGUCAAGGCUACCCGAUAAAGGAUGGCUGGCAUUCAUCAGUAGGUGGAUCCGCCGUAGGGGUUGGUUCAGCCACUCGACGACCGGCACUUGCCAUUGAAAAACCAAUAAAAGUACUUUAUGCAGCAGGGUACCACGAUCGAACGCCACCGGAACACCCCGAUAUGAGAAAGCCAUUUCGAGUGCGGUAGAUCAACAACCCGAAUUACUACACGAAAUUUGUGAAAUUGCAAAGGGCAAGUGAACCCGGCAAAACAUAAUGCUUUGUGAAAGGUUCUUGAUCCAUUUUACAAGCCAAGGUGAUAUCAGUGCAAGGGCAAUUAUAUUAGUACGGGUUGCCAUAUAUGUCUGAAUGGAUUGGAACGAAGGGAUGAAGGAAAGGAAGGACCAAUGAAGGCAAAUACCCUAUCCCAUGGGGCUGACCUCCGACCAUCAAAGAAGGGAUUGGACUCAGGUGGGCAAGGCAGGAACUUCCGGAUUUACUUAUUUAGGAGUUUUUCCCAGCUCAAGGCACCGAUCUGACUUAUUUAGAAAGCUAGAACGGAGAGGGAACACCCGGUUUGCUGGUACAGAAUCCGUUGCUAUUGGACUUGGCAAGUAAGCCCAGAAGGAAGAAGUCGUAGCUGCUACCUUACCUUCUUCUUCUUAGUCUGCUUGAAAGGAAAGCCAGUAACUCGAGAGUCAAAAGAAAUAGAAUGUAGUAUGACAGAACCUGUAGCUUUGAGCUUGAACGUCUUUCAGCUCUUACAACCCAGCUGCUAUUGAAUCAGCGUAAGGAGAUGCCGAUGAGGGUACAAUAGAGAAAAGAAUGAGCUUUGGUUCAGAGCUUGAAUUACUUCCUUCACUUCAAAUGAAAAGGAAGGCUUGACUUUUCAAUAGGCUUUUAACAGGAUCAGACGCUCUUGCUGGACUAGCAAUUGAAUCCGUAACCUUUGCUAUUUCACUCCGGCUAUUGAAUCAACUGGUAUAGAAGAAGCCGCACAUUCAUCCGGUGUGCUAGAAUCAAUGGCAGAGAAUGCGCUGUGAGGAAGAAAAGGCCUCUUUGGCAACUAUUGAAUACGGUCUUUGAGAAUCUACUGCUAUUUAUUGAAGGAAUUACCGGGACGAAGCCAAUCACACAUUUCUACUUUCGACCAGGUAAAGAUAUCCACAUCUGAGGAAGAGCAGGGAUAAUCGUAGACUAAGAAGAGAGGACGCAAACACAUUCAUUGAAUUGGACAACUUUCUUAACAAGAAGCGGUUAGCCGUACUCAGUUCCAGGCACGCUUUCCUGAUUCGUGAACAGGGGAUGAGAAUGUCAAACCUUUUCUUGCAAACACCUCUUCUUCUAUCCCAAUAGUUGGACAAGCCAAGAAAGGGGGAAAGAAAAGUUCGUGGUAAAAUAAAGGACAGUCGAACCUGAAAGGCCAGAAAGUGAUUGACCUACUAGUAGGUAUAACGAGGAGAAAAGGUAUCCCAUUUCUAGCAAUGAUAAUAAGGCCUAUCCCAGUAAGAGAUAGAUUCCCUAAAAAGGAGGAAUAAUGGCUUUUGAGAACUACUCUCUAUAAUAGGCUUGCUUCUCCUUAUGGCUAAAUGAAAAUGUAGAUUGGAAGCUCGUGAGUUCCACUCCAGGAAGUUUUUCUUUAGGAUCUUCAGAAAGUGAGUAGUAAGCUACUGGCUGUAGACAGGGCUAAGUUUGAAGUUCUAAAAAGACCAUUACUACUGUGUCUAACGGAGAUAGCAGUUCUACGAAUAAGGGUGUCUUCCAGUCCUCCCGUAUUUUUGUAAUAGAGGGGUGAAGUGAGGAAGGGAUAUAGUUUCAGGUCCAGGCGAGCUUACUUCAAUGGCAGGCCAGUAGCUUCGUCCAUUUACAGCCGAGCGAGCAAAUAGGGUUCUUCAGGCGAGUUGCUUUCCAUGUAUUUCUAACCUAUCUAUCUUAAUAGCUCUUUAGGAUAUAGCCCUUUUUUUAUUGCUUGCCAUAUUUCCACCUGCACUUUGAGACCUGAGGAACAAAGUUAGCUAUAGAUGGAUCGCUGCCCCCUCGUUAUGAGAAUGAAUCCUUCCCGGGACAGGAUUUCACUCCAAAGAGAAACUAAGGGGGCUCCUUUGCUUUAUAACCAUAGAGCGCAAUAGACCUGGCACAUCACAAGUCAUCUAACUUAAAAAAGAAGGGCAUGUGCCUCAGGUUUGCUUUCUUCAAAUAUUUCCCUCUUCACGGGUGGACGCCAGCUAUAAUGGUUGAUUGAAAUCCUCGCUCGCAUGUAACCGUUAUACAGUGCGGGUUUGAUGCCUAGCGCUUUACUUUAACUAUUUCUUUUUCCAUGACGUUGAUUACCCACUGCCCUCCUUCAUGCCUCUUUGCAUCUAUUCUUACUAUUUCCAUUGUCCUAUCUUGCUUCCUAUUCUCCGGUCGGCGAAUCGGCUGGUUGGACUGAUUUUUCUUGGUUAUUCGGGAAACGUAAUGCUAACAGUUCAAACUCCCUCUUCUAGUAAGCGAAGCAAGAGGUUCCUUACCAACAGCUAUGAUGUGAGAGCUUUCGCUUCUCAGUUUCCCUCCCCCACGAAAUGCGGCUACUGUUUUCCCAAAGUCCUUUGUUGUAGAGGCGGAAUCUCUUCAAUCGUUUACGCCAGAAAGACUCUUUCUAUUUUGCGUAUAUAAGGGAGACUGGUCUUUAUCGUCUCACUCCAGCCCGUAGUCAAUUAAAGUGCUUCUUUCUCUCUGGCAGUUCUCCAUUCAGCUAGCUGCUAAAAAAAGCGCUCAUUGAUAUAUGUAUCAAGUAGAGAUUUCUUUUUUGUUCCGAAGUAUCCCACUUCUUUUGAUAAGAGUGUGACCCACCUUGAAAGGAUGGUGUGAAAUACGACACAUUCCUCCUCGUCUGGGGUUGGGGAGACAAAGCCGAGGAUCGAAAGGAAGAAAAAUAGGAAAGAAAAGGAUCGAGAGAAAGAGUAAGCAGCGACGGAAGAAGACUUUGCCGGCAGUCGUUCCGAAGUCAAGGAACUUCUUGCAUUGCACAUGGGUAAGUCCAGUAGAAAUUCCCUUUUGCAUGUCCAUCCAUCUGAGAUCAGAAAAGGAUUUCGAACUCUCUUGGGACUAAGUGAAGACAGUCACGUCACUUGCUUGAGACGGAGCUGGAAAGAAAGCGGGAAUUAGCUCAAGGGAAGGGGGAGUGGUGAGGAGGGCCCCCUCUCCUUAUCACGGAAGUCACAAAACAAAAGAUGAGACUCACCAUGACAAAGGCCUGCCUCAUCUCUAAAGAGUCCACCGGCGCCAGCAAAAUCAGGAUUACUGUUUUGCUCGCUCCGUCUGUAUUAAGCUUAACCCAGCCUUGCGGGGGAAACGACCAACCCACCAGCUGCUGUACUUUCGUUGGUUUUUUCACCAUGUUUUCCUCCAACUUCAUGGCAUCCGAAACCUCCUUCACAUAACCCAAAAUUGCUGAAACUGGGUCCUUCGGCGAUACGAAGUCAUUAUCAAACACCAAUUUAUUUCGCCAAAACCAGAGCUUCCACACCGCAACUCCAAACACUAACGGCCAUUCAUACUCUCCUUACUCCCAGUUGCUUCUUCAAAUUAUGUAAAAUUAUGCAUGAGCCAUUCGGAACUACUCCAGUUUAAAAAAUCUCUCUUCACAUUCGGACACAACAAAGCUUCCCAGACUUUUUUUGCUAACCUGCAGUCACGCAACACAUGAAGGCAUUAUUCGACUUUAUUCAGGCAUCGAACACAAUUCGGCGAAGCUGCUAUAUGUCUUUUGAAGUGAUUUUCAUUUGUCAGCAACUUGUUGUGCAAAGCCAGCCACAAAAAGGAUCUAAUCCUUUGGGGACCCCUUCAUUUCCACAGGGCCAUCCAAUUCUUAUUCAGUUCUGUCCAGCAGCUCUCUUCAAUCAGUUCGUAAGCCGACUUGGUCGUGAAACAUCCAUUCGGAGAACGACCCCACACAACAACAUCACGCUGGGCUGCUCUGUUGGGAGGAUUGAUCGCUGCAAUUUUGAGGCAUGUAUUCGCUGGCAAGACGUGCACAAAAUCUUGCCACAACCAUUGCCCAUCUUCAUCCACAUACUCGGCUACCUUUCGAAGAAAAUGAACAUCAGAGACUGCGGCUGUAGCUUUCUUGAUUAAAGGUCUCUCAUUUUCGACCCAGCUAUCUAACCAAAAUCGAACUGAUUUGCCAUUACCAAUAACCCAUGUUAAUCCUCUGAGUAGGUUAGGCCAAACGCCACAAAUUCCUUUCGAUAGUGCCGACGAAUCCCUCGUAGCUUUCAUCUUAGAAAGAAGUUCAUUGGAAUUUCAGAUAUUUGCUUCGCAGCACCGAAGCCAAAAAACUAUCCGGAUCAUUCAUCAAACCCCAACCAAGUUUCAUGAGGAAAGCGUCAUUCAUCGCUGCCAUUCGCCUUAAACCGAGCCCACCAUGGAUUUUUGGCUAACAAAGCGGAUGCCAACCGACCAAAUGGACUUUCCGCUGAUCAUCCGAGUCCCCCCCAUAUAAAACUCUUGCAAAGACUCUCUAUGCUUUCACAAGUCCCUGUCGGAAGUUUAGCCGAUUGCAUAGUAUAUGUUGGCAACGCAGAAAUCACCGAUUGACAUAGAGUAAUUCUUCCAGCAAGAGAGAGUUGAUAAACCUUCCAUCCUGCUAGUCCCCCCUUGAUCUUCUCGACAAUAUGAUAAUAAGUCUUCUUUGUAACCCGUGUAUGCAGCAGAGGAACCCCAAGCUAAUUGCCCAAAUUAUGGGUAAGUGAAAAAAAACCACUCUCCUUGCUGAUAUCCUGGGUUGCGGCUUGAGAAACAUUCUUCGAACAGAAAAUACGAGUUUUGGCCGAACUAAUCUUCUGACCCGAAGAGGCACAGACAUUAUUUAGACAAUCCAAGAUCACUCUGAUUUGAUUUACCGACGCUUCCGCAAAGAGUACAAGAUCAUCCGCAAAUAGAAGAUGCGAUAAUGCAGGGCCAUUUCGACCAAUUCGGAUCGGCUUCCAUUUACCAUUUCCAACUUUAACAUUAAUUAAAUGCGCCAAUCUUUCAAGACACAAAACAAAAAUGUAAGGCGAUAGUGGAUCACCCUGUCGGACCCCUCUAGAUGGCUUGAACUCCUCUGUAGCUUCCCCAUUCCAUAAUACCUGCAUGGACGCGGAGCAUAUAUAUAUAUAUUUCAUAAUAACAUCAAUCAUACCUAUAGGUAAUCCAACCUCCACCAAAAUGAAAAAAAUCCCAUCGAAGUCUAUCAUAGGCCUUCUCGAGGUCCACUUUGAUAGCCAUCAAACCCUUCUUCUUAUCUUCUAGAGUGAGCUAAUUUUCUUACGUUAGAUGGUCGGCUUUCGUCUUCAGUUCAAGUAGAGCUUGAGUCUUUCCUAGGUCCUAGUUCAAGUCGAGUUUGACUCCUAUUCUGAGAAGAAAUCAGAAGUAGCCUUCAAUGGUGAGGCCCGCCCCUACUAUUGGUCUAGUGGGGUGAGCGUAGGGAGAGUGGGAAAGGGGCUCCCUGCGCUUUUAGAGGAGACCCACAGGGAACGAGCGAAAGACUUGUAGAGGUAGAGAGAGGGUUAGAGCGGAUGGAGCGAGCUCCCUAAAGGACCAGACCAUUUCAUCCCUCUACUUGAAGUCGAGUUACUUCGUCCCUUACUUUCCAGUGACUUUCAUCCCUGGUCCUAUCGGACCAGCUACUUCAUCCCUGGAACGAUAGCUAGAGAAGUAGAGAGCUAGAGGGGAGGAGGUUGCUCGUAGAUCAACUCGACCGGAGCGUAAGAGCUACGUUUACGAAGCGAAAGCUAUAGGAAGGAAGGAGCUCAAGACUUGGAGCGAGUAAAGAGAGGUUGAGAGGAAGUGAAGCUGAUAAGUGAUAAAGUAAGCAACUCUGAAACGAUAGAGUUCUCACUAGAGCUGAACUAAGGUCUGGAAGGAAAUUCUCCUAACCGUUGGACUACAAAGGCAAAGGCUUAGACAAAGGCAUGGACUCAGGCUCUGGACAGAAAGGCCUUUUAUCCAGUCUUUCACUAAUCAUUCGAUAGGAGAGAAACUUUCUUUCGAAAGUGGAUCCGCCUAAAAAGAUAAGGUAUGUAACUCCCCUCGGACUAUCGGGAGAGUUGAACGUAGUCCAUCCUUGCGGUACAAGAAAUUAAGUCCAUACUCAAGUCAAGAGCUCUAAGGCAAAAUGAAUUGUGUAGAUAGAUGUCCCAUAUAGCCCAUACUCCCCGGGGUCGGGAACGAAAGCUUUCUUAUGUGGGCAGAGACCUCAGGAUCGACCAUAACUGAAGGAUCCUCUGGUUCGACAUUCUAUCUCUCUGGGUGCUCUUACAAUCUAAGACAUUUGUUUUCAUUCCCCCGGUGGGUGGAUUGUCUGGGCCAGCCGAUAUCUCUUCAUUCGGACCAGGAGAGAGAAAGUAAGCGUUUUUAACCAUUCUGCCUUCAAGAGCCUUUAUUGGGACAUCGCCAGGCCAGGCGACAUCUAAGGAAGAUUGACCACCGUCGAUUCCUAGAUGCUUUGAAUAGCUAUCUUUCGUACCGUCGAUUGAAGACUAGGCGUCGAAUGUCCUCUUUGGAUCUUUGAUAGAAGAAGCUGCUUACUCGGAUUCAUGCCCAUAAAGAGUAGAAGAUUCAGCGCAAGUGCAAGAACAGGUUUCACAGUUAAGAAAGGUAGAGAUUCAUCCCCUGUUCUUGUUCGAGAAUCCGCAUCAAUAGAUGAGAGGAUUGAGCUUCCAACAGCCUACGAGUGCAAACAGUCAAUUUCCCAUCAUUUGCACUGGGAAUGGAAAUGAAAAAGGAAUUUCUAGAUCUAGAAUCAGAUGAAUGUGCAACAGUCAAUUUCCUCCCUCACAGCCUAGUUGUCCACUAGAAGCAGCCUUUUUUACUAUACGCUAUUUGGCCUGAAAAGAAAGAACCUAUCCGUCGCAAACAAUGAAAAGACUGUCUUUUUGUCAAAAAUGUAAUUUUCGGAUAUCCUAAGAGCCUAGUCUUGCAAACGAGAUGAGACGGAUGGACUACGAAGAGAAAGGGCACUAAUCUCAUUCAUGGGCAGAAGUUCCUUGUCCAAUUUAAACUACUGAAGAAGUAGCGAUUCCCUGCACUCCGAAGAGUAGCCUUCCAUUAAGAGCCUCUCUUUCAGGCUUUUCUGUGGGAAGACUUGAAGCUGUUGGCAUUCCCCUAUGCAGAGACAGUUUUAGCAAUAGCUAGAUUCUCAAGCUCUGAUUCACUUGCACCCCUUCUUCUUGAAAUGGCAUUAGCUGCUCCUUCUAUGGCAUCCUCUUAGACUAUUUCUAUUCCAUCAAAGAUCCAAGCAGGGGAUUCUGUAAGAACAAGACAAGACCGCUUACGCCGACAUAAGAUAUGUCACUUCCACUUCCUUUAGGAGAUGCUUUGAAGAGACAAAAGAGAAGGCUUAUAGAAAAAAUGGAUCCUUUUGAUGCCGCAGAUCGUCUUUUGCAUUCGAUGCUUCCUGUACUGAUACUGAUACCUGCCAUCCAUAUCCAUACGUGCCUGCUACUGGUGCAUGAAUCCGAUUCGGGGAUAUCGUAUCUUCUUUUCUUUCUUAUGCUUAUGUUGGCAUAUUUUAAUAUGAAUUAGCCAUAUCGGAAAUACCCGGCAAGCUCCGCAUCUAGGAUUCUGUCAGAACACCCGGCGAAAGGCGAUCCUUAAUAGCCUAAUUUUCGAUUCAAUCUGGUAUUCCAGAAUAGCCUAAGGGGCGUAGCGGUAAGAUCAAUUUCUUUUGACUCUUUCGAGAAGGGGAGAAGAAUAUCACAAGUUGAGGAGAUUUUUUUAAAAGAAAAUCCUGAUCUUUUCUAUCUGCUUGAAGUAAAAAGGCUUCUGGCAACGAUUGAACCAGGUCGCAGGGAACUUUAUAAUCUGGGGAUAUCGUAGUCAAGGUAAAGUAGCCAAGCGCUCAGUUAGAACAAAAUUAGUACUACUCUAACGACUAUGGACAGGCUCCUUCCUCAUUAACAGAAACUGGACUCGUACUAGACGAAAGAUAAGCCGGCAGGCAAGAGAUAAGAAAAAAGGGUGAAAUAGCAGACUAAGCCACUCUUACUACCUGUAUUCCUACCGGCAUAGGAAAUCCAUUAACUAUAAAAGAUAUCACAAUAGGAAAAGCAGGGAGAUAGAAUAGGAGUAAGAUAGUGUAGGACUUAAAGGCUGAACUCUUCUUUCCUGCUAUUAUAGCAGCGUUACAGAAUGAAUGGUCAAUCCAUUUCCCCGCUCCUUAAUCCGGUCUUAGAGAAGAAGGCCAAGGCCGUCGAAAGCCUCUUUGAGACAAAUCCGCUAAUUCUGUAAGAGUGUAGCCCAGCCAACUUCUCAAGGGAAGGAACUUCUUUCCCAUUUCCAUUUACAAAAGCGCUAGACCCCUGGUCCUUUACUUUAAUCAACAAGGCUGCUUUCCCUGCUAACCCUUCUGGGGGAUACGGUAAGCACGUCCAGUGUAGUUCCAGUGUAGUUUACCUAUAUAUUGGGAUCCAGUUACAGUAUAAGACGGGAGCCUGCUUAGUGGAAACAAAAGGGCAAGCCGACUCUUUGGCUCAAGCCCUGGAGAGGCUUUUGUCUGCUUCAUCGACAGAUGCGGUUUUGAUCGAGCAAAAUGACAUCCAGCCUGAUGUGAGAGAAAGAGCAGUGGAUGAGUGAUUCCCAGAUGAGGACACGGCCUGAUUGAGAAGGACUUUCAACUAACUCAAAGUGAUGGAACAAGACAGUACCGACGGGCUUUGAGCUAGCAGAUAAGGGAGAGACUUUCUUUUCCUUCAUUGACCCGGAUCUAAAUUAAGUCAAGUGGUUAUAAUUUUAAAUCUCUCUCGACGCUUAGGAAUUGAGUUCCCGGACUCACUGAGUGAGAACUGCCCGGUUCUGGGCCUCCUGUGGCACCAACUGGUAAACGAAGGAGAGAAUCAUACGUGACACCGGACUGGACUAUCAUCCGAUGAGGCAAAAGGAACAUCUCAAGUAGAUGAGAAAGGUCAGCGACAGCGGACGCUACUCUAACAUCAUUCUAUAGCUUCAAAGCAAGAGGCCUUGACAGAGAUCAGGGCACAAUGGACUUCGAUUUUCGGUGUUACACCUAACCUAAUAAAAGGAGUUUGUGGGAAAGGGCUACGGGGGUUGUCCAAUCAUGGGUCUCAGAACCAGCGAUGAAAGCAAUGGGAGAAUCAAAUUAAGAACAAGUAGAAGGAUUGGACUUUGUGAACCAGUGGGAGAUCGUAUCGGUGCUAUGUUGUUAGGAGGUCGUAAACAAAGGGCUAAGAGCCUUAAGCCCGUCCAAGAGAAAGAAAGAUAUUCGGUUCUGCAAUGAUGCGUCUUUUCAAACCAAAGAAAAGACAACCCAUAAACCAGCCUUACUGACCGGACCUAGGCUUGACCAAAGAUUAGUAGAUUCCCUUGUGGAGUAAUGUUCUCCAUAAUGCCAAGGUUGAUGAAAGUCUUCUCUCACGCCUAGAUAGGAAUGGGAAAGCACACCCGCGAUUCAAUCAAACAUCAGCGCUGCCACUUGAAUAGGAUUGGUUCAUCUCAUACCUUCCCGCUACACCGCCCCCAUUCAGUGGUUCCCUGCCCGACCCAAUCUUAUGGAAUCUUCCUUCUUGUCUCCAAAGGGCUUGCCUUACCCUGCCAUGCAAGCGAUUCAAUCAAACCAGUAGGAAGUAGUGGUCGCUUUUUAUGCAACCGAAGAUGUAAGGAUCAGUGAUGGACACAGCGAAAUUAGGAUAAGCAACAAAAGAGACGGCUCCAUUUGCCAGAGAUGGCUGUACUCUUGCGAUGAUAGCAUCGUCGAAGGUAUUCCACCGACGAUCUAGGACACAAAGAAUGCUGCCAGUCUUUACGCCGACCCUAGUAAAUGGUAAAUGGGAGGACGGCAACCUGUAUUGCUUUCAUUGCGACGAUAGAAUAAUAAUUCAAUGGAGGACUUCCUGUGCCAAUCAUUCAAGUGGUGAUCUGGCAUCGUGAGCAGAAGUCGAUAGAGGAACGAGGCAGCCGAGGUAGGCUACUAACUUGCUCGUUAGAAGUAGUUAACGAACGGAAAUAAGGCCAUUCGAUGUCUAUAAGUGAAGAUUGGAUGGAUGCCCGCUCCUUGGGUAUGCUUUCAAAAGGGCUGUUUUCAUGCGUGCUGGUGUUCGUGGUCUCUUGGUUUUUCUGUUCUCGUGGGGGAAGGCGGGUUAGAGCAGCACUGCUCUUUUUUAUUUAGCAACUGCCGCGCUGCUUAUUGAGGAUAUUCUUGACUUUCUUUCCGCUGUAGCUUAGUUCUGGAUAGAUGGGUUGGGUUAACACAAAAGUACGCCCACGCUCUGAGAGUGACCCGACCUUGGCACGUUCCUUCACUCAGCAAUAGCGCCCCUACUCUUAACAAGUACGCUUCCCGCUUACUCUAAUUCCCAAGCUGGAAACAUCCAGUUGCUUAUUAUAGGAUAGGAUGCACUUCCCGACCGGUGAAAGGAAACAGCGAGAUCUCCUUUCCUGUAGGCUUCUCCUGUGCUUAGUUCACCUAGCAGGGAAAGAAGCGGAGCCGUGCAAGUAACAUCGUGAGCGUGAACAGAGGUUAUCAAGAGUUAGCUUGGGAACAUGCCAAGCCCUUAGCCUUAGUUGGAAGCUAAACCAAAGCUAAGCUUGUAGGCUCGUAGAGAAAGCUAUUGUGCAGGUAUACCCACAAUCCAUGUUCCUGAACAGUCUCGUUCGAACAUCUGAUUCACCUUAGGGCGGACACUUCACUUCAAGCUUAAACCUCCGUCUAUGAUCGGCUUGCUUUCUCGGUAUCGUGAGUCUAAACUCUUUAAGCCGGCUAACUAAUAGAUAGAGAUAUAGCUCAGUAAACACGGGAAUCACUAUCGCCUUCGGCUUAAACACGGCUACGCUUCGCUCUUUUUAACUAUCGCUAGUCUGUAGUCUGUGAAAGAAGAUUGCAAUUUCUGGUCACUUUCAGUCUAACCCGGAUUUACUUAGUUAGUCGGGACUUGCUUCUUAGCGUGUAGUGGAUCAACCAGGCUAGCUUUCCUGUAGUAGAGCGCGGGGAGAGUGACCAUCAGGGCCUUGAAUAGGGUGUGCCUUUUUUUUCUGUACAUUUUUUAUGAGGAGUACUCUUGAAUGUACUAUACAGUAGGUUCUCAGUGCCCUAAGAUCCCAAUCCCAGAUCGAGUUCCAAUCGCAGAAUUGUUCUCAAGCGAAUGGCUUUUACUCAACCUCAAUUCAUUCAGUUAGGACCUCCCUUUAUGUCAUUUCUUUCCUUGCCAGCGUGAGGAGUCAGAUCGGAUUCUAGCACUUGCAUGGAAUCUGGGAUAGUGGCUAUUGGCAGCCUCUCUUGGCAUGAGCACUAGCAUCUUGCUAACAUCGGCUUUUUCCUCCGACUAGAAGGGGAUCUUGUUCACGGCGGAUUCAAUCUCCUCAAAUGUGGCUUUGGCUUCAGCUAUCUCAUUCGUUCUUUUUUAUCUUUUGAUUGGUAAGUAGCCCUUUUCGGGUUAGUUGAAAGACCAAGAAUGGCCUCUUUGAAAGAAGACGACAGACAUGCUGGGAAGGAAAAGGAAGGAGAUGUGGCCUAAGUAGGUACAACAAAAGGUACUAGUAUGGGCGCAAUAUGCGAUUGGAAGCUCUUCUUUGGCAGGUUUCAUGAUUUGCUAAUCCGAUCUUGUAAGUUGGCUUAUCUUAGGCCACCGACUGAGACGAUGGCUUGAAACCCGGGUAGAAAUAAGACCAAUCGAAAACCUUGGAAGCAACAAAUCGCGGGGCGUAAGCUGUUGAAUAAGCUGUGGGUCUUGAGGCAGAUGUGGCAUCUUCUGAACCACCGUAGUUAGGGGGAAAAAGCUCAUCUUUUUUCAAUGCAACCAGAGGGCUCUUAGUACGCUAACGCUACUACCUGCCCAGUAAGAGGAUGUUUUUUGGUUUAUGUCGUCCAAAGAAAGGGCUUCCCUAUCAGCACAAAGAAGAAAUUCAAUAAGAGAGGAUUGGAUUUCAUCAAGAAAAGACAAAAACCGCAUUGAGUGGGGCCUGCCCUAAAAUUCCCCUUACAGAGCUUCUCUAUCAAGAGCUGCUAGUUGGUGGUUGAGGAGUAAUAGGUUCCGCAUAAGCUACAUUUCGUGGGGGAGGCACCUAUCCAGUACUUCCGAACUCGUCUUUCAUCUACAGACAUUGGGUCGCUAAAGCCAAUAGUUCGGUGUCCGGGCAACAGCCACUCAUCUUUGGUUGCAGCUUCGGCUGAAGCCUAUGCUUUCAGUUCAGUUCCAUUCCUUGGUUCUCCGGUUGAUUGCCCAGCCCGCGUCACACCUUAAAAAGCUUUGGAACGGCAGUUUCACUUACUUCUCACGGACAUUGGACCUUCUUCAAACUGGCCUUUGAACUUUAGCAAAGAGUCUAUUGGAUAGAACGGGGAGCUAUUUGCUAAUCGAGGGCUUCACUUCCCUGCUCUGGUUCAAGACUAGCUAGGUAUCCUCCUCAGUAUCGUUACCACGCUAGCUUGAAUAGUCUCAGAGCUUGGCUACGAUUGCCUCGAAGGAAUGCAGAGCUGUCUUAUAGUAGCGAGCACUCCCCUUAUGAACCUUAAACCAGAGGACAGAAAGAAAGCAAAAGGAGAAGGAAGAGAAGGGACUAAUAGAUGUUAUCCUACUAGCAGUGACUAGAAGGAAGGGAGCCAAGUCACUAACUAGAGGAAGGGUCUACGAUUGCCGGGUCGUGUUCGUGAACCUAUAAAGAACUUUUAGAAUUGCUUACACUCCUCGGAAAUUACUGAAAGACUGGCCUACGACCCCUCACAGAAAAAGGGUCUCUGCUUAAAGGAAUUUCAGAUAAGUCUUUGGGCGUACUUUGACGAGGGGUGACAACUCCUUCUUUCUAUUCUAUAGAAGUGCCAAUAGCCAAUAAAAGAGAAAAAAUCUAUAUAUUAAAAUAGAGGGAUUCUUAGUCUAGUCUAGCGCGUAGUUUCAAAGAAUUAAAUUAAGAGAAUCCGCGAUCUAUGCCUUACGAACGUCAACCACCUCUUUAAGGUCUUCAGUAGUUAGGGGGCGCGGAGCCACUGUUAUCUCCUCUUAGCGAGUAUGGUACCCACUCCUCUUAUUGGCUGGGGAUGUACACAGCAGUCGAAGCAACGUAUAAUAAGCGUCGAUCGCGAUACGCCUUCGAUCACCCGGAUAGAUUGAGUCAAGUAAUGGCAGCCACUGAGAGCUUACCUUAACUGGCAUGACAUUUAAAGAAGGCUACGUCUAGACCUGAAGAAUCCCUGAGUCUUCCGGUCGAGGCAUAUUAUCUAAGCGACUCUCCUAGUGCUUAGUGGGCCAAGUGUAUUUUCUUUUAGUUAAUCUACCCGUUUUACGGCCGGUUUCUUAUUAUCCUUCGCUUGUAGCGACUGAAUCUUGUUUCCGAUACAGCACCAUUGAUUGGUCUAUUGGCAAAGGAAACCCGGGAAUUAAAGAUUUUGUUCUGUCCGGAGGACAUUUAUUAUGCUGUCACUACUGCUUGUCAAUUUUAAUUGCAUCAAAGCUCUCGUUCGAACUUCAUCUACGAGAAUUCUAAACAAGAACUCGAGACUUGAAAUGAAUCCAAGUGGAGGUUCUUUCUCAGGGCGUAAGGAAUAGCACGCAAAAGACAGCCUGGAAAGACAAAGACAGGAUUUCUUAAUAAAAGGUGGAUGAGCGGUAAUGGCUGGGGAAGGGGGCAAGUACAUCCUUUUGUUCUCAGUUCGUGGGAAUUGCUUCCAUCACUAACCAGUUCAGCUCGGCUGGUGGGCUUUUGUGUUCUAACCUCGAAUCCGGACCUGUUCGACAAGACCUGAUCCAUCAACAAACCUAGGUCCAAUAUUUGCUUGUACGAGCUAGCCAUCAACAGACGGACAUCCUUUUACCGCAGCCUUCCCCUAUUGGGCAUAGCCUUUUCUCCGUUAGGCUCCUGUAAGGGCGGGUAUGAGAAGGGUCCCCCUCUCCCUUGUCAAAGCUUAGUUAUCCGUGAAUGAGAACUCGUUUUGCUUGUUGGCUGGUAGCUCCAUGGUUGGUUAGCUCGAAAGCGAGUUUUGACUCUUUGAUCGUCGAGGAAUAAAGGUGUGAUUACCUGAGGUGAGGUUGACCUUCUUUCUGCCUUAGAAGAGGUCUAGUUUAGGUCAGUGCUCUAUUUUUCUAGAAAAUAUCUUUUUUGAGGCAAUACCUAUGAACUUAGCUCGGACUGAAUCCGCAUCCGCCUCUGUAGCUCUUCUAUAAGAGCGGACCUUUUUCCAGUCCUAUUCUUUCCUCUUAAGUUCCUUUUGGAACACCUCAUGUUGGGACGUCUGCACCUCUUUCUAUUUUGAGACGACCACAGGUUCCACCAAUCCUGCUCUAUCCAGUUUGAGGUCGUCUGAACCUGAUACCCUGCUCCAGAUUCAACUCUGCUCCUACAUCAAAUCCUUCCUCCUCCGUAGUUCACGUUCAUAGAGGGAGACUUCCCAAACGAAGACUCCAGGUCACUGAAACGAACACAAGGCUUUAGCAAGCCACCCAAUGUAGGACGAAUUACCUCCCAUCCGUUCUAGCUACUCCACACUGGCCUUAAAAGCGCCUACUUUUCUUUCUUCACAGAGAUGUAGAAAGUUUGAUUGAAUUGCGUAUAGAAAGAGAGACAUGCUUUUUUUUGUAAACAGGGGACAUAGACCCUUCCUCGGAGACUUGCCCCCAUUGAUUAGCCCGACCCAAUUCCAAUUCAAGUUCUUAUUCACUGGAAAUGCUUCCUUUACUGGAGCUGGUAAUGGAAAUGCUGAAGUUUUAGCUUGUGUUUUCCUGUCUUCUCUGCCUUGCCCACUCCACCUUAUUUGCUGGAGGGAGGAUACGAUUGUCGAAGCUGAAGUCCCAUUCAAUUCAUAUAACUUCGCCUACUACCCUCUUACUCGCACGCCUACCAACUAGAAUGAGGACAGUCAGACUAACCCAAAAAAAGAAAUCACUAUCACUCGAGAAACCGGCCCCUUUUUCUGUCUUUCUUGCUUGAUUCGUCUUUCAUCUCUGUGUCUUAUCCGGAUGGAAUGUAUACUAUCUCCCUAUCGGACUAAGGGUUUUGAUCGAAUAUUCCUCUCUCUACCUGAAUUCAAUCAGUAAGAAAAAAAAUAUGGAAUAAAGAGUUUCAUUCCAUAAAACAUGUUCCACAGGGCACCUGUUCAAUAAAUCAGGAAAAAGCGAAGCGCUUACAGAGAGAGACCGACCUCCGUAGUUGACUCUGAAUCCUAGGCUAAGGAAAGGGGAAGCGGGUUUAGUCAAGAAGUAGGCGUGGGUAGGGGGUAAGUGUCAAUCUCAUCUUUCUUUUUUUGCAUUACGCGGUUCAGCACUCUCCCUUCACCUUGAACCACAGCGCUACUGUGAUUGACAGACAUGAGACCCCUAUCGAUGGAUCGGAUCAAACCCCUUCUGCUGCCUGAUACCAAAGGCGCCGAAGAAAGCUUGUGGAUGAAGUCCGCCGUCCCGAGCGAAAGGAUCGAUAGUUUGACUUGAGUGGUCCCCCCUUCGUUCGAGUGAAACCUAGGAAAAAUCAAAUGAAUUACACCAGCUAGGACCACUAGGCCGAGAAAGAUGCCAUCUUGUAGUAACCCUUUUAUAUCUAACUCUGUUUCCGGGAAGUAAGCUAUCUUGGGUUAUUCUUUUAUGAAUGAGUCUCUUUCCCGCUAGCCGGAGCUAAGAUUUGAAUGCUCUUUUUACCAUUCCUCCUAUCCCGUAUUCAAUCACGAAAGCCAGCUGACAAAGAGGCAAGGGCUAGUCAUACCAUUCUCUAACAAAGAGAAAAAGGAAAGAGCUCUACGACUGAAACAAGAAUCACAGCCGGAAUGGAAAUAAUCGAACUUAAAGUUUUUCCUCCACCUCAAAGAAUCUUCCCUAGCCCUAAAGAAAAUGGCAAGAGUCUUUACUAUUUUAGCUCAAUCUUUCUCUUGCUCAUGCUCCAAUCUGAUGGUGUUAGAACCUUGGGGCUACCUAUCUUGAAGCCAAUCCAUUCUGGAAUGCGCGCACAACACAUGUUGAAAUUCCACCUUUUCAGAUACAAGGUGGUUUGGUCUUUUCUUAUAUAAGAAAGAUUCUCCCUUAGAGCUGCAUUGCAUGGUUUUCAUGUGGUUAGUUAUUAGGUGGAGAAACUGAGUGUGGGAAAGCUUUUCCGAGAAAGUCAUUCAUUCUCUGGCUUGAAAUGACUACUUCAAAUUUAGGUUCUUUCCAUUCUCACUCACUGGAGAAGCAUUGGCAACUUACCCGCAAAUCAAAUUCAUAAUUGGGAAUAGAUGGACUCUCUCUAGGACCUAUUUUACUGACAGGAUUGAUCACCACUUUAGCUACUUUAGCGGCUCGGCCAGUUACUCGGGAUUCCCGAUUAUUACAUUUUCUGAUGUUAGCAAUGUAUAGUGGUCAAAUAGGAUUUUUUUCUUCUCAAGAUCUUUUACUUUUUUUCAUCCUGCGGGAGUUAGAAUGAAUUCCCCUUUAUCUACUUCUAUCCAUGUAGGGGAGAAAGAAAGAAAGAUCUGUAUUCAGCAUUUUAUGAGCUUUACAGGCCCGUUGAAGUCCCCGAAAAAAGGGGAAAAAUGGGGCUAUAAGUAGGCCGUUUGCUAUUGCUAUAAGGGCUGCUCGCCUUUAUACGGCUUGGCUUCGCUAUCGCUCAUGACUUGUAUUGUGGUCGGCCUAAAGACUAGUAUUCCUACCAUACCAGAAUGCCUAUUAUCUAGUGCUAGAAGCUUCGCCAGAAGCAAGCAAGACGAGGUCGCUCUGCUUCGUAGACAAGGCUCGUUCCGUACUUGACUUACGAGCUCGUGUAGUACUCGCCCCUCUCUCUAAAGGGGCUUAUGCACUCCACUCGCUGUCUACUAAACGAGCGUUAGAGCGAGCGAGCGAAGCCUUCAAUUUAGUGGCUUCCCCCCUUUUCCCUCACCCUACUCUUUCAUUUCCGCUUAAGCUUCCCCGGUUUGGUUGGUUUGGGGGAUUAAUUGAUUGGAUACCCGAGAACCAUAAUCUUUCCUAGGAACAGCUUCUACGACGAUAGAUAGGGGUCAGGUUUGUUUGGCAUCUAUGCCCCCUGCCCUCCAAACAGUAUGGGAGCCUUUCAGCUCGUACUGCUCACACUCCUAGAUCUUCACGGCACCUCCUCCACCAUAGUGUGAGCUGGGAGCAGCUCCGAAAAGCGAGGCCUACUUUAAAAUUAGCUUUCAACAACGUCAACAACACCACGAAAAAAGUAAACUAUGGUUGCCCACUGAUCUGAUCAUAGGUGAAAUCCAAUCCCUUCGCUUCGCGCCAGGCUUGGAAACCGUAAGUCAGGCUCCCUUCGCCUCUCGGAAGCGAGAAAGCGAGCAGCCCUCUGAAGAUCUACGAGCAACCUGAUUUACAAUCAGCCUGCCUAAGAUCGUAGGGGAGCACCCUGAUCGUUCCGACCACUUCUGAUCAAAGAUCAGCCUGAUCUACGACCACCCUGAUCGUAGAGCACUUCUGAUCUUCAAUCAGCCUGCCUAAGAUCGUAGUAGAGCACCCUGAUUUACAAUCAGCCUGAUCUACGAGCACUUCUGAUCAAAGAUCAGCCUGAUCUACGACCACCCUUUCCCCUUUCUCUAAUAAUAAGGGCGUUAAGCAUAGCUCCAACCUAUACAAGGGGCAAGCCAAAACCAGCGGAAGGCUUGGCUUGAAAGCUUACCUUAUUAUUAUUCAAAGGGGAGCUUCUUCUUUUUAUUAUUCUCAUUUUUAUACUAAAAAACAAGGUGCUUAACGCCCUACUCCCCAACAACUACAAGGGUGCUUGCUUGCUGGCAUCAAAGCCCUUCAUUAUUAUUAGUAAGAUGGGGCGGAGGGCGCACAACCCCUUCUCUGCUCCUUUCCUGAGCCUUUCCCUGAUCUACGACCACCCUGCCCGCCCUUCUCUAUUUUGAGGGAUCCCUCAUAUUGAGGAUUCCAGGCUUCCCGGACUCGUAACAGACGGCUAGGAACAAAAAGAGGGUCAGUAGUCUCUGCCGUUGCAGGUCCUUCUCCUUCCGCUGAGACGGCCCUUUUUCUUUUUUGUUUUGUUUGUUCACCGCGGCACGAAAGAAUGAAGAAGCUGGAAUAACUCAGAAAGAGAGUGGCGCCUAGCCGUUGAGAGCGUCUGUUGUCUUUGUAGAGGAACAGUACGAUCUUGGACUGGCCCUCUUCGCAUGACCUAGAAAGAAAAAGAAGUCCGUGCUACUAUAAGGCCUCUAAACUCCUCCCUCAGGACACUGUUGCGUUGCCCAUGGGGACGGGGUAGCCCCGACUUCCAUAGGUCCUUGGUUCGACCUCCUAAUGAGAAUUGAGGUCCUUGCGCGGGCGUCUCAUCCCUAAGACUUGCUUGCUCUUUAUGGAGUGCCCCGUGGUUCCUCGAGUGCCAGCCGCAGAGAGGAAUGUCAUCAACUAGGGCGCUAUUGGCCACUAACCACUCGCUCGCCGGCCGCUCGGGCUCCGCGUUUCAAGUUCGUUAUCCUAACCGUCUCCUCUGCUCCACCGGGAGCCUGGCCCCUUCUUCUAUCUUAUCUACUGCCUUGCUCCUCGGCUCCCUACAGCUCCAGCCGCUCGCUGUAAUAGCUUGCUUCUCGGGUGGCUCGCACCCCGGGUGGUGCGGCUGAGCCAGAGUGGGCUCAGCAGUCGGCCUAUGUUUCCGGGCGCACGCGUAGAGGCAUGAUUAGUUCCACGAAUCUCACUGCACUGACCAUAGUAAACUCCUUCUCGUUGUACCGAAAUAGAGGUCUGAUUUGAACGACCAGGUACAGCAUCACAUUUGACACCUGAGGAAGGUACAGCCCAACUAUGAGGUACAUCAGCAGGUGUUACAAUAAUACGUAGAUUAGUUUUGGCUGGUACAACCACUCUAUUGUCCACUUCUAAUAAACGUGAUUGACCCAAUUCUGGAUCAUCUUCUGGAAUCGUAUAACUGUCAAAAGUGAGUGACUCUUCAUCGGAACUGUUAUAGUCCGAAUACUCAUAAGGUUGGGUCGACGCCCGCCUCCCCCCAAACUGUACUUGCAAGUUUCCCCGCAAAAAGCUCUCCACGCCUACUCUUAGAAAGAGCACUCUUUUUUCUUUAGUUAGGGUAGUUCUCCCGACCGUAAGACCCUUUAUGAGUAAGGGGAAUCGAAGGCCGGGGAAAGUUUAUUGGCUACAGGGGACCCUUUUUCACCCAGCCCUACCUACCCUACCCUAUGUAUUCGAGGGGGAGGCUGGAACCGAAAAAGACCUGGUUCCACACACAUGAGACACGCAGAAGGUAUGGGGCGACCAGUUCACCACGGAAAGCAAAUUAGAUCCUAUCCUAUAGUUGUCUUCUUUGUUCGAUAAAUGCGCAGUGGAAAGGGAUGCUAGCCGGCUCGGCGAAGUUGUAGGCCCCAAUAGAUCAGAUUCAGAGUGAUUCCUCACCUAUCCUGUCAGGGGCCCAGUUGAACGCUCGAGUAUAGAUUCCCUAUGCUCAUGUGAACGGCCGGGGCCGGCCGGCCCGUAGAUCUAAAAGGAUCCAUCCAUAGGCCUGACCGGAUAUCGUUUGUCCACGAACAAAACAAAAAAAAAACAAAGUAGGUUUUUAGUAGUAGUUCAUGAGACCUCGAAUUCCCACGUUCCAGCGUGCAUUAUGCCAACAGGUCCCACCCCCAACUCUAGCUGAGAAGUUGAGUCACCCUUCUUUUUUUUUUUCGUUGCAGCAAGUAAGUUGCGAGGCGCUCCAGACCUGUUCGGGCGUGAACUGAGCUUCCAACAAUAAGAUCCUACUACUGCUCAUUCCAGCGGACGGGACGCUUUCCCAGUUUCACGUACUUUUAUUUUUUAUCACCAGAAUGCAUGUGAAAAUCAACUAACCGGCCGGUGGGUGAUUCUGGUUCUAUCUCCGCUUGAUCCCAGUUUCCAUUCCCCUUUCUUCAGGAGGCGAGGUUCGGGUCGGAGGGACGGGGCGAAGCGCUCCGUUGUUCACCGCUAAUUUAUAGUACAAGUCUAUCAGAAGUGCUUUCGGUUUUGUUUUAGUAUGGUCCAGAUCGUCGGAGCCCGGAGCCAGGUGAUACCGCGAUGGAUUGAGCGGGGCGGGGAGGUGCGAGCUUCCACUCGAAAGCCUUUCGGUCACUCGCAUUAGGGCAUUCCGAUCGCUUCUCAUACUACUCCCUCGCCCCUGACUGGAAAGGAGACAUACGACAUAGUUAGUCGGCCCUAUUCAUUCCAUUCCUGAAAGGAGCAAGCUGAAAAAGCCCUUUCCCCUUUCUCUAAUAAUAAGGGCGUUAAGCAACCGGCUCAUCUUUCUUUUUUCAGAAAAAGAAUAGAAUAAAGAAAGAUAGAGUCUAUAUCCUGUAUCGAUCAUAGGAUCACUCUAUGAAUAGGUCGAUUCUCUGUGACCUCCCACCGUUCACGACAUCCCUUGCUUCUCGCUGCGAACGGCUCCUCGGUGGAGGAGUAGAAGCGCUGGUCCCCUUCGGUCAAGUUACUUAACUGCUGUUACCUACCGUAGGACCUCCGUCCCCGAAGCGAAGAAAGAGGAGCAGGAACAACAGGUUGUCCUCUCCCGGCCCAGUAGUUCCGCAACUACUACCGUGGUUGUUGCCAACGGGGAUCCCCCAUUCCGAAAGGUUACUGGGCCGGCCGUUAGGUCCAAAGUUGUAUGCCACUGCUAUGGUGCCGAUAGAUUCACUACUUCAGCGCCGUUAUCGGACAUUGCAGGCUGAGCAUCUAUUUCUCGUAUAUCGCUCCACACCGAGAAGAGGGAUGUGUACCUCCAGCAACAACAAGAAUGGAACCAUAGGCUCCUAUGCUGGGAGCAUUUCGGGGUAUAGGUCUAACCACCUCAACUCCCCGUUUCUGGCAUGCUAUAGUUAUUAAAGUCUCUCGACGACGGGAAUGGGAGAUUACCGGUAAGCCAGAUGCUUCGCGAACCAUAUUCCACUUUAAGGCAUUUCGUUGCACUUAAAUCACCCUCGUGAAGAGGCGCACUCCGAUACCAUUGAUGUCCAAUAGCUUUGAUAGUAAUGGCAGGAUCUACUACUACCUCGUCCAUUGAGUAUAAGAGAACAAAUGAUGGUAUAGCAAUGAACAUCGGGAUGAUACUAGGAAAUAUGGUCCGAAGAAUCUCGAUAGUAGUUCCAUGAACAAUUCUUUGCGGGAUUGGAUUUUUUUUAUAGUGGAAAUGCCAUAAAGCGCGAACCAAGAUCCGUGAUACGAAAACCAAAAUGAGAAUGAGGAAGAAAAAGAUAUCGUGAUGUAAGUCCAUUACUCCUUGCAUUAUAGGUGUUGCUGCGUCUUGAGAUCCUAAUUGCCAUGGUUCCGCUGCAUCACAAGGAGCAAUUGUGAGGAAUAGCCAUUCUAGAACAAUCAUUUGGUUUGGUUCAUUCUUUGACUGCUCUGCUCCCCCCCAAAAAAAGAGAGACUUGUCGGAAAUAGCCGGUUGGGUUGGUCCGACCAAGAAAGGCAUGGGAGUCUUUGGGCAUUGCUUGGGCGCUUGGGCCGAGUUAAGUAAAGACUGGCUACCUACUGAUCGUAGACCACUAAGAUCUACGAGCACCCUCACUGCACACUUUUUAUAUCUCUGUCUCCCGGCUGCAUGCUCUAGUUAUGAAUCGGAGAUAGAACAAUGGGGAGGUUACAAUUCCGAAUCCACUAUUACAGUAAUUUCUUUUUGAUGUCGAAACGGUCUUUAUCUUUUUUUUGGGCAAUGACUUUCUAAUAUAUUGGGCCUAUCCCCUUCCUUAUUUAUAUACAUUCUUUAUAUACAUUCUUUUUGUACUAGCUUAUCCGGUGCAGUUUAUGACACAUGAGAAAGGAUUCCAUCGCCUAAACGGCUCUAUUUGGGUACGUCCUUUAACGGCCGAGCCCGAACAGCAACGGGAGAGGAAGGCUCUAUGUCCAUGAGGUCUCGAGCCGCUUUUUAAUCGCCCCUUUAUCCGGUCUUGCGAACUCCUUGCUUUUUUGAAAGCAUAUCUAUAAAACAUUCCGAUUCCAGAACUAGGCUGGGUCAAAUACUAUACUAAACGUUCGGCUAGGAAUGAAGAAGCCGUAAAGCCCCUCGACACCCAUAGAGGGAGAUUUUAGCAUAAAGAACGAUAUUGAUGAUCCAAAACUUUUUUAAUUUAAAGAAGCAGCUGAUCUACGACCACCCUUCUCAUUCUUCAGAGUCCGCUAAUCGGAGAACUCAUAUAUAUAUUACCGAUGAAGGGAUUAAACCGGUAACCCUCUCUGAAAAAGAUGUUAAAUGUUUGCUUGUUUUUAAGCGCUGUUGGGCACAGUAGGAGUCGAUCUUUGCAAAUCGCCAUAAAGUUGCUUGGAAGUUUCCAUCUCUCUGUCCCUAUCUCCAUUUAGAUUAGAGCGAAGAAGUACCUAUUGGUCAAGCCAGCUCCCCUUUAUCUAUCUUCCCCAAUUUAGCAGGCAGGAUCGAAGGGGGUCGUUCCCUUCUCCUUAUGAGAUCUUUCAGAAUAUCUCCUACAUAUAGUACCAUAUGAGUGACCAUUGGGAUGAUCGUCCCCGUUUCAAGUAGAACCGAUUCCCCUUCGCAGCCUCCGUGGGCGCCCGAUCAAAUCACCUGCUAGACUGGCCUCCAAGCUCGAUCUCUAUGUAGCUAUGAGAGACUUUCCAUCCGCUUUACCCGUCUACAUUUCCGAAAGGUAAGGCCUGGUUAAGAAAGAGAGUAAUACCUACGUUUCGGAUACGCCUAACCCAACCACAUGAAUAUACUAGGGCACAGGAACCCAACAAUUGGUUGAUCGCUCUCCCGCUUCUGCGAGGUUUAUAAAACAAAAUAACCCUUCCACUUAUCUAUUUCCAAAUCAAUGCUUACGAUUUGAAUAGCCGAACCUUCCAUUCCAAAGAAAAGAGUAGAUAGGUGCGGAUAAGGCAGAUAGGGAAAGGGCUUUCUAUUUAUAUAAGAAGCCUGUUGUUUGGCCUGGCUCUUCUAGUAGUACUAAUGGGCGCACUUUAGAACAAGAUCAAAGUAGGCUUCCCUCAUUCUAUCUAAUUAAUACGGAAUGCCCCCUCUUUCUUAUAGGAAAGACUUUAUUCAAUAAACAGAACCGCCUUUCUUUGUAUUUCGUAUACCAACCUCCGGGGAUUGAUUGGUGGAGCAUCCCCUUUUAGGUCUUUCCAGAUUCGGGAUCUCGUUUUGAAGCAUAGAGAAAAUGAGCAUGGAGAAGAGGAGCCCGCCCCUCAUCCGGUUUGUGGCGUUCUCUCCUGGUCUCGGCCAGCCGACCGGAAGAGCGUUUACCUCCGGCGACCACUUCCGGAAACUCAGUUUCACGUCCCCUAAAGACACACAGGCCAGAGAACAAAGUUUUUCACCAGCUCUAGAAUGAAGCCCAACGAGCACUCCACUGUUAUGUCCCACCGGGAUCCAAUUACCAGAUUGGUUUACACCCUCUUUCUCCAGCAAGCCUUUAACCGAUUCCCACAGAGUGGCACCGAGCUGCCCUCCGACUUACACCAGAUCGCAGAGGACCAGACCCCAAGCGCUCCUAUAUGGGAGCCACCGUAGAAAGUUUUGAUGGAGUUUGACCCAAGCUUCUCAUCGAUUUCACCUCCCACAGCGGUGAAUAGCUCUGUCGGAGCAAGAGCAUUAACUCCAAGGGUCUCCGCCCUACAAACAGAAGUGGAGUGUCUCAGGUCUUUAGAGGUGGGGGCUUUAGAAGGGAUGGUGGGGUCCCUUAAAGGGUCAGGCAACAAGGAAGAGGCCGAACCAGAUACUUCCCCAUUUCCAAUGACACUGUGCAGAGCCCUAGCCAGAGCUAGCCAGCCGGCUCCGUUAAAGCCCCUAGGGAUUACUAAAACCAUAUUUUGACUAUACGGAGAAUAAAUAUUCAGUCAUUACAAGAUACAAGCCUUUAACAUUCUUCUUGAGAUCUAUAAUUCUAGUCCUGCCUGCUACUACAGAUUUCCUCCAAAAUGGAUUCUCCACAUUGUGUUCUGCCGCCAGAAAAAGGCUCUCUGCCAACCAAGCUCCAGCCUCCAUUGGAAGAUACAUUUUUUGCUGAAAUAAUAUACCCACCUCGAUUAGCAACAGCCAUACAGUCCUCCCUUUCCGAACAUGCUCCAUCUCGAAGGUUUUGGCCUCAAUCACAAUAGAUACAGCCAUGGUUAAACAAGAAUAAACACACCAGAGCAGAAGAUAUUUGAAGAACAGGAUACAUCUAACUAAAACAGAGCACAGCCAUCCUAAGCCAUCAGUAAACCCAUCGAAACAGAUCUAUGAAACCAGUGUGAAAAACACAGAACAGACCCCUGCCGGAGGUCAUGGCUUUCCGGACACUAUGUGGAAACUUCUUGCUUUUUGUUGGGUAAUUUGGAAAGAGAGGAAUUGGCAGAUUUUUCAAUAAAAGGAGUCGCUAGAAUCACUCAAACAUAGUAUGUCAAUUUCAUUUUGAAUAGCUCAAACUUACAAACUCACAAAAAUAUAAAAGAUUGCAAUUUCAAGGUUUAAGCUAAAAAAAAAGAAACAUUCCUAAACACAUCUUGUAUUCCAAUUGUUCAAAAAUAGCAAAAAGGUAAAUAAAACACAUCUUUCUAAAAAACCAAUCACUCCACACGUGGCCUUUUGCCACGUGCAACCUCCUGACGCCUUUGUUCUCGAGUUGAAGUGGACGAUUCCUUGACUCAGGUCUCGGGGAGGCAAGCUUGAUGUCGCAAAUGAAGGCCGUGCAGUAAUGUGUGAAACAUGGUCAUCAUGAAGUAAGCAAGACUCUCUAUUCUCGAUGGCUUCUGUGUCGUUCUCAAAAUUAUCAUCAUCAGCAAAAGCAUCCCAUUUCUGAUAUAGCCCCUCAUAAUCUUCCCUGUAUCGCGACAACAUUCGAUGAUUAUAGUUAACAUAUACCAAAGAUUCUGCACGAUCUACAUUCAUCUUCUUUCUCUUUACACUAUGAAUGUACGCAUAGGUACUCCAUGCUCUCUCUGCACAUGAGGUGUUUACAAAAAGUGAUAACACUUUCACUGCCAAACUGUAAAGUUCAACAGCUGUAACUCCAUAUAAAUCCCACCAUGAUAUUGCAUAUAAUGUUUCUCUAUCUUUGAUUGCUUGAGGACGAGCAACCUAAACGCCCUUCUUACUGACAAAGUCACUAAGUUGCGCCUCUAUAAGUAAGGGCUCAUUUUUGCUCCCUUGGAUCCCAAACAAUUUGGUCCACCACAUCUAAGUAAACAUCAUUAACAUGAAGAUCAACAUGAGGCUUCCUCCUCUCCCCCCCUGGACCCAAACUCCUCAACCAGAAGAAGAAAACACUAAUAGAAGUAGUUGGUGAAGUGCUUAAUCCAGAGAUAGGAGACUGAUGCCUUACGUCGACAAAGGAUAUAGUGAUGGAUUCAUUCGAUUGCCAUUAAGAUCGAUCAGCCGGAAAGGAAGCCGUGAAGAAGCAGUCGAGUGUUCCCCAGCAGCAGCAGAAUAAAUAGGAGAUCGUUCCCCCGACCUGCCUCAGCCUCGUGAUUCUGUUGUGGGCGGGGAAUCCACUAUUGAAAGUGUCAGUGGUCCACUUUUCAGCAUUAGACAGAUUCUCAUUCGUUCAGAAUAGCCCUAGUUCGCCGAUGACUAGCUAUCCCUAGCUCUAUAGUAGCGGAUCGAAACCUCUAUCCCACCCAGCACGGGAACUGCUGAAAUGUCCCUCUCCGGCUUUGAAAGGAAUGAAGCAAAUACGGGUCAUGAAUGCCUUCCUCCCUUCCUUUACCUCUGCCUGGUUCUUUCCCUCGUUCUCUUGUCCGGGCCCUAUCUGAUCCAAUAGUCGAUUCAAUACCCCACCCUCGCUUUAGUCGCUCAACUGCCAACCCGACCCUGCCGCCGAUUCGGGAGAGCGAGAUAGUGGGCCGAAUAGCAGAAAGAGUGAUCAGCUAUCGGUUGGUUCAUCGAGCCUUCCACCCGAAAGAAAGGAAAGAACGGAUGAUUUUCUCUCUGCCCGAAGGCAUAAGGGCUUGGACCACCACCGACCCAUCUCGUUGAAGAAGUCGAGUAACCGAACGAUCCAUCCUCUGAUCCAAUCAAUCUCAUAUCACCUGCCUUUGCAGAAGGGAUACGACCACCACCCAUCCUGUAUAGCCGGGGAGCAAGAUUGAACGAGGCCUUCGGCUGGCAUCUCUUCUUCAUCCAUCGCCGUCGCACCUACCCGCUUCAGUCGAGUUGGCCAGCAUGAGGAAUUCUAUAAUAGAUGGAUUGCCAGAAUUAUCAGUCGAGUAACCCCUAUCCUCGACACGAGAUACAAAGAUAUUCGACCUGCCCGCGCAUCAAUCACUCGCCGGGAAUCUCAAUAUUAAUGGCUCUUGAAUCCGAUUGUGGUGGGUUCAGUCGGGUGGCAAGUCAAUUGAAAGAAAGAAAUGAAAAGCAUCGACCUUUGAAUCGAUCUAAACUUACCAUUCUAUAGAUGGAUAUCGACCGGAUGAUGAAAUGAGUCUAUCCCCUCACCUGCCCCUGCUUCAAUUGCUACUUUUGGAAUGCCUGGUCAACGUUCAACCCCUUCAUCCCUCACCGAUGCAGUAUUCGAAUAGAUCGAUCGCCUUCCCUCGGCAGAUUUCAUAACAUCGUCGUACUCGACAGGUUCCUCUCCAUCUCCUGCUGCUGUGGUUGGAUAGGCCGAUCUUUCCUUCUCUCUCCCGCCUGACCGAGAGGAAGUGUUCCGUUUCCAACCCUACCUUUCGAUCGACUGUCAUUUAUGGGAUUCGAUGCCCUCGACGAUGCUCUUCAAUACAGAUCUAUUCGACCUGCUGCCCCACCUGAUGCUCAUUUGACCCUACCUUCUUUUCCCUACCUUGCUACUGGCAGGCUUGGUCAAGCGAGCGAUAUAAGUUUUGGUGACCCGAGGAGCACGUCGAUUGAUCGGCUGUGGUCGACUAUAGAUAAAAAGUCUGAUUUCGGUUGAUGUUCCGCUAUGGCUUCGGGUGGGAUGGAGAGCCAGCCUUCCCUUGACCGGCUUCCCUCACUAGAUAUGGUGGGAUUGGAUCUCCUAUCUGAUAAGAGGGGUUGGCCAGAAGAGAAGGAAGAAAAGCAAGUGAAAGAAAUAAAGGUUGAGAAAUCCCUCCAUCCGAUCCCUAUCUUUUAUGCCGAUCUCAGCAAGCAGUACCGGAAACUGAUGAACCAUACUAGAUGAUCGAACCGGCCCUCGGCGAAGAGAAGUCGUGGGUGAGCGUUUGAGUCCCCAGCAUUAGAUCCUCCUGCUGCAGUUGAGUCCGCCUAUAUUCCCGAAUCCCUAUCAUCCAUCCGGCGAAAAAAUCUAACUUUUCUCGCCCAAAAGGGCGAGUCACUAAAGUCCCUCUCCCGGCAAUAUAGAUGGUGGUUGCAUCGAUCCCAGCUCCUAUCCGAAAAAAGGUAUAUGGUUUCUCAAUACGUUCCACCCUCUCCUCAUUCGGAGACUACUGCUUGUCCUCCUUCUCCAGGGGUUCGAUGCCAGCUAUCCCGCUGAUGGAAGAAUCCCACCUAAUCUAAGAUUUUCCUGCUCGAUCAAUAUUUCAGUUAUGGCCUUAUCAAUGUUUAAUUGAGAAAGAAAUUCAAGGGCGUUAUAUCAAAUCAUCUUAUAUAAUACGGAUUAACGAUCGCGGAAAAGAUACGCAAGAAAGAGACACUGAAAGAUAGGAGGUAUAAGGGCUAUCUGUAUGCCUAGGUCCUAGUAGAGAUCCAACUCCGUGUUGGUCAGAAAUCUCACCCUAUCUAUCCCCGUCCCCGGUCUCCGGCAAUGAACCUUGCUUUUAGAGGUGAACAAUUUAAGGAAGGGAAGAGAAUCGGCACAUUGCCCUUGCCCCCCGGGUUUGGGCUGGGAAUAAUAGUGAAUUUCUUUCUCAAGACGCCCAUUGAUAGGGCGAUUUCUCAAGACGCAUCGCCAUCCCCACCCUGGGCUUAUAAUAGCUGGCAUUGAUUUCUCUUUUAAGCCAUUGAGUUGGGGAUAAAUCGACGUCAGGGGAAGUGUUGUUGGGAAUAAGCUAUAUUGAUUGAGAUUUAGAUUAUAUAUAUUUUAUGCUCCUGGUUAUGACUCAAGAGGCUCAAAAGCUGAGGACUCAAUCUCGAUCUGUAGUUGGAUCUGCUCCCUUCGUUGCGGGGCAAUGGAUGAAUCUGGAGAUCUAUCUCGAUAAAGAUCUAAAACGAAUGCGAGAAGAUGAAGGAAUGGGAACGAAAUCCUUAUAGGGGACUAGUUAACUGGUGGAGUCAGUCAACGGGUGAAACUGAAACUGGAAAAGACGCUGGUUCAAGGUCAUUAGUCCGGUCAACAAGCUAUCGAUCUGUAACUGGACGAAGUCAAGAAUAAAUGGGCUAUCUGUUAUAAAGUCCGGAACGAUGGUUCUCUGACUCAGUAAUUCUUUUGUUUCACAAAAUGAGUUAUAUAGGGCGAGUCGACUUUCACUCUGAUAGGGCAAUUCAUUCUACUAUAACCAAGUGGGUUUGGCAAAGCCAAAAUAUGUGACAGGAAAGGUCGUUCAGAGAAUAUAGAAUAUGGAGAGUAUAGAGAUUUCAGCUUUUCUGCCUAGCUCUACAGAAAUGGAAAGCCCUAUGCAGCAGUUUAUGAUUUUCAACCUAACAGGGACAGACAGAGGCAUUGACAUAUCCAAAUAGUUUGUUUUGUCUUCUUUCCCUUUGAGCAGAUCAGAGCUGAUGACAAGAGAGAAACCAGUUGAUUAAAUUAGGGUGCCCGGGGCAUGCGCUCUAACUUUGAUAGUUGCACGAAAAAGGGUAAAGCCCGACUCAACUUAACGCAAGGGCUCGUUGCAGACCAGACCUCUAUUAGGGCUAGGGCGUAAAGCAUGGAAUUCUGCCUAACUAAGUUUGAUCGGGCCUUAAAGCCUAUCCUUAAAAGGAUAGCCCUCGCUUCGCCUGUUUAGGACACAACAAGGCCUCUUUUUGGAAUGGUGUGCUUUCAUUUCAUUUAUGGGGAUUUCACUUACUUAUAAGUAGGGAGAAGCGCUAACAGUCAAGCCUGACGCUUCUUCACUUUGGUUGGCAUCAUACAAGCUACCCGCGGUUCAAUCAGGCUUCGAAUACACAGAUGUAGGAGUAUGCCCUUUUUUGCCUUGGAGUGGGCCUAAAGAGAGUCUUGAAAUCUAAAUAAAAGACGACAGGAGAUCGAGCCACAAACAAGACAAAUCGCAGAAGCAGUUCUAAUCUAAGACACUCGACCAGGAGCUUCUACGCGGAUUAGACACCCACCUAGCCUACCUGGUUCCCAGUUCCUAAAGGGGGCUUUGUCUGCUGUCUUGCUCUGAGUAGAGUAGGGUCGGCCAGCAUGCUAGGCAUUGGAAAAGGAGACCGACCUUCUGUACCAUAUCCUGUUCCCAGACCCAUUAUAUAGAAUCGAAGUGUAAUGGCCCUGAUAGAGAAGAAGGAUAAAAAAAAGAGUAAGAAAGAGUAAGCCAAGCAGUAACUAAUCAUGCUAGAUGUGAAAGACUAGGAGUGGAGAUCCAUUUGGGGAUACAAGGGCCCGACUUAAUCUCAAAAGAAAAGAGAGUACUCGCGAACGCCUCCUGCGUGUAAGGCUUAGCUUCCCGAUUCACCAUUUAACUCCUCUUGCCAGUCCGUCUUUUCUAAGCGCAUAAGACAACUGUAGCAGAGAUCGGCUAAGCCAUAGCGCCGGUUCUAUUCGAAUGCAGGGUCUAUGGAAGAGGAUAGUUCCGGAUAAUUGGCCUUGGGGCUUUUCAUCCAUAAUGAUAUGGAAGGGGUCCUCCAUCACAAGAAAGAAAGCAUGUCGCCUCUGCCUGGCCCUUCUCCCUAUUAUUCUCCGUGGUCAAGCCGAAAGCUUCUCUCCCCUUUCAGUCGAGGUUUGACAGCUCCUCGGGAGUGGACCUCUUUUUUAGAGACCCGAUCCCGUUAGUAUGGUAUAUGAGAUCGCAAAUCCAAAUUUUGGAAUGAAAAAAAAGCAUUUAUAUUAGCAUGGCUGGUUGUCCAGUCCACCCAAUAUAAGCCGGCACCGUCUCUCCCUAUUGGUUGAGCAGGCAGGCAUUUCUUAUUAUCUCCUUACCCGCCGAGCAAGCAUCCCAAUUGGAUAAAACCUAUAUUAACAAGCUAUUCAAUCCCUUUCAAAGAUAUGGCUGCUGCAAGCAAGAUCGCUACGUAGCUGCGUGCGCUACAGCUAGGAAACAAGCUAGCCUCACUCAAUCAUGAAGCCUAGCUCGCCUCAGAGGCACUUCGCGAAGCGACCGAAGAUAGCAUGUGACAUCAAUCACUCAAGCCAAGCUGAGGUGUUGAUCCCGCUUCAACAAGACUCGACAAGCAAAGGCAUGAACUACAACACACAGCAAGCAGAUCGCUACGCUACUUCACUACGGAAUGAGCUACGACUGAUGACCGGCACAGUCUUCGCCAAGCAAGAUGAUGUAACUCCUCAAAACAUAAAAAGAGCUCUUAUAUAUGCAGAAACAUGAUAUAUGUGUAAAUGAAUUAUAGCCAUUUUCAAAUAGAUCAGGAUCGUCGGAUGUCUGAAAUGGAAAGUCAAUUUUUCUAUAUGUAUGUAGAUAUCUAUAGGGGAUCAUAUGAAGGGGAUGUUAUUAUUUUAGAUAUAACCAAUUCCCCUCUCUACGCCCACUAAGAUCUGCGAUCAGCCCUCAACAAAGUUGAUCGUAGAGCACUUCUGAUCUUCAAUCAGCCUGCCUAAGAUCGUAGUAGAGCACCCUGAUUUACAAUCAGCCUGAUCUACGAGCACUUCUGAUCUUCGAUCAGCCUGAUCUACGACCACCCUC
rnacentral:lncRNA from 1 species